rnacentral:lncRNA from 1 species
UCAUCUUCUGUCGUGAUAAAUCUUCCCUAUAAAUAGGGCAAGUGUUAUGCAAAUACUCAUAUCAGUCAAGUUCAGAGUAAGCUCGAAGUCCAUUUAGCUGGUUAGUAGUGUUGGGUAUAUAUUCCAUAUUCCAUAUUUCCAUUUCCAUAUGCUUUCUGCCAAUAAGUUUCUCUGUAUGCAUCAUCCUCAUACUUGACUUUCUCCAGGGUCUUAUUGAAGGCAUUGUUUUUAGGUGAACUCGGACUUUCUCCAGGGUGAAGAUCCAAGAUCUUCGAUCGAGCAACGACAACGCUUAUGCAUUGUUUCCUUUUUGGGGGCGUUGCUUUUGGAGAACCUCAUUUGUAUUUCGGGUGUUGUCUUCGGUGGUUGGUAGAGUGCUACUGAUGCUAGUGAUUCAUCACCGUGGCAGGGUCUUUUUUUCUGUUCCUUUUAUUUUCCUUUUUGGCUGUGUAUUCUUGAUGCCUUUGAACAUCUUGUUGGUAUAGAGUCCGGGUGUAAUUGGUAUCUUUGUGAUAUUAAUAUGUUCCUUUUGUCAAAAAAAUUAAGAUAGGAAGUAAGAAUUAUAUACAAAUAAGCACCACAUAAACGGCAGCCCAAACUUCCCAUUCCGUCAUCGCAACACUAAGUAACUACUCGCUUAAGACUAUCUUUCUCCAUCUUCCGUGACUCAAGGCAAUGCUGGUGAAUUUUAUCGACUACUGAUGUAUGAAGCAGAGAGGUGUUGUUGCACACCCUUGUGCUUCUCUCAAGCACAUGCAUCAUAGCGAGCAGAGGAUCAACCAGUUGACACCUUUUCUCAGCUUGGGAGGGAUGCCCUGCUGAAGAUCAGACCACCAGGUGAGGACGUCUGGUUCGGCAGGAAGAUCCAUCUCAGGAUGUGAGACCAGACCUCACGCGCAAGACCAUCAUUAGGUGCUCGGUCGUUUCCUUAGGUACACAUCUCUCUUUUUUUGGAUAUUUUCUUGGUAGUGAAUUAGUGAUUAAACUUUUUAGAGGAAAGGUAUUUCUGUCCAGAAUUGGUGAUUAAAAUUGAGCUGUGAACUUGGGAUUGCUCGGAAAUUACAUGCAUGGCAUUGAGAUAUGCACAAAUUUAAUUAGGCUUGUCUUAAUCUACUCUGGCUGGAACUUCACAGUUUGGCAUACAUGUACAUACAUAACUGACCGAUCAAGCACAUGAUUUUUUUUAAAGAAGGAUUACCCCCGGUUUCUGCAUUAAAAUGAUGCAUGCAUCCAUAUUAUUAUACGAAGUAGCCAUCAAAUACAUAGUUCGAUACAAAUUGGCAAAACGAGUUAAAAUAAAAUAAAAAUUGCCACAACACCGAUUAAGCACACUUUAAGGACCGAUUAAGCACACAUGACUUGCAUACUUCUUUAUUUCUCCAUAUUCAUUUAUUCGUGAGCCAGCAUGUAUGUAUGCAGGCCACAGCAAGCCAGCAAGAGCUAUCCACCUAUACAACGUGGGGGGUCUCGGCGACGGUGCCCACGAAGAUGCGGACACGGUUGGGCCUCAAGUCCUCGGUCACGGCGGAGCCGACCGGCACCAUGACAAUGUCGGCGUCGGGCUUGUCCUUCAGGAUGAUCUCCUUGGCCUCCUUGAUGCUCAGCCCCACCACCUCCGGCCACGAAGUCUUCUUUCCACCGGCGAGGUCGUCGGAGGAACUCAUCUUCGUAGCACUGGUUGAUAACUUGAGAUCGAUCGAUCAAUCAGAGAUAGCUUAAUUGAGGCGGAGUGAGGUAUUUCAGCAACAAACUAAACAAGAAGAUCAGUUGAGGCACAUCUAGUUGCUACUCACCGAUUGAUGGACGGUCUUCUCCGAGCUGAUGGACGUACGGCCGAUGAUAUUGGAUGAUUGACAGGCUAGCAAAAGUUGCGCUGUGCGUGAGACUUGAUUUGCAUAACACAUUGGUCGAGUGAUGUAAUAUAGUAGAGAGAUUACGAGUAGGUAGCAGCUUCAUUUUCCACCCAUGGUACCUUCUGAAAGCUGAAUAAAACUGUUGCUUAUUGAUGAUUUGGUGCGGCAUACAAGAGUAUAUAAGAGGGUACAAACCGACUUGGGGUAGGGGUACAAAACUGACUUGGACUAGAAGUCGUAUACCAUAAUGACUACUCUAACAUCCCCCCAGUAUCAACGGCAGGCUCGACGACGUUGAGACUGAAACAGAUAUCUUGAAACGGCUUAGUAGGCAGUGCCUUGGUGAAAAUGUCAGCAAACUGAGCCGUAGAGGGAACAUGAAGCACCCGAACCUGACCAAGAGCAACCUUUUCACCAACAAAAUGAAUAUCAAUCUCAAUAUGCUUUGUGCGUCGGUGUUGAACUGGAUUGCUGGUCAUGUAGACUACUGAUAUGUUGUCACAGUAGACAAUAGUGGCCUGCUCAAUAGGCCUGUGUAGCUCGGAGAGUAACUGCCGAAUCCAGAUUGUAUCUGCAACGGCAUGUGCCACAACGCGAUACUCAGCCUCGGCCGACGAACGUGAGACUGUAACCUGUCUUUUCGAAGACCAAGAAAUCAAAUUGUUACCAAGGAAAACACAAAAACCGGAAGUGGACCUUCGAGUGUCAGGACAACCAGCCCAGUCUGCAUCAGAGUAUGCAGUAAGCGAGUUUGGAGAAGAAUUAUUGAGGUGGAGACCAUGAUUGAGAGUUCCUUUUAAAUACCGAAGAAUGCGUUUAACAUGAUUAUGGUGAGGAACCCGGGGAUCAUGCAUAUAGAGACAUGCUUUUUGAACAGCAAAAGAGAUUUCAGGACGAGUAAUGGUGAGAUAUUGGAGAGCACCUGUUAGGCUACGAUAGAGAGUAGGAUCGGAAAAGGGUUCACCGGUAGCCGAAAGUUUAAAACUAGUAUCGACAGGAGUGCGAGAUGAUUGACAGUCAAGCAUACCAGCACGAUUAAGAAGAUCAAGAAUAUACUGGCGUUGGGAAAGAAAAAGGCUGGAGGAAUCUCGAACAACAGCAAUGCCUAAGAAAUGAUGAAGGAGUCCUAGGUCAGUCAUAGAAAAUUCAGAUCUAAGAAAAGAGACAAUAUGAUCUAAAAACUUUUGAGAGGAGGCGGUAAGAAUAUACGAGGAGGCGGCGCUGCAGCCGAAUGUGGUCCGCACGGUCCUGGUCCGUGAUCAGACGAGGCGGAGGGGCGACGACUUGCACCUGUUCGCGCGUGUGGACGUCCCGGAAGUUCAUCUGGGACGGAGGCCUCUCUAGGCGCCACGCCGCCACGUCGUACGCGCAGGCCGCCUCGUGCGCGGUCCGAACGUGCCGAGGCCGAGCCGGACAUCGUUGGACCGGAUCUCGGCGGAGUACCAGCCGUUGGGGCGCGCACGGAUGCCGCGGUAGCCUGAAGAUCCCCGGCAACGCGGCGGCAUGGUGGCGCGGUGGUGGCAGGGCGCUGGAAACGGCGAGAAAGAGGUGGAAGAGACGAGGUGGUGAGGGGAUGGGCGCGUGGCAAUGUGGUGGAGCGCGUGGCGAGUGUAGCGUUUUAUAGGCGCGUGAACCGGCGCGCCAAAUCUACCGCGCGAGCUGCCGUUAUUUCCCCGCGCGCGCAAUCGCAUCCCGCGCGCGGUAGUUUCCCGCCUCCGCUGAGCGUGUGAAAACUUACCGCGUGCGCUAAAAUGUCAGUUUACCACGCGCGCGUCUUUUGGCGCGUCCGUUGGAGAUGCUUGUAGCAAUGUACACGUGCCGCAUGACUUGCAUGCAAAGCUUCUUCGUGGACAUAUCCAUUAAGUUGGGUCAACCAAGCAACCUACAGGUAUAGCUGGCGAAUUGAUAUGAUCUUGAAUGCUUACUUCCACGUACGCGAUAAGAGAUAAUGUUUUCAGGUAUUCUAAAAUCAUAAUAUAUUAAUAUUAAGGAUAAUAAUAUAAUCUCUCCAGAAAACUACGAACUUAUUAUAGUGUAGUCUUCAGAAAAUCAUGGACUUAGUAUAAUAUUAUUUAACUACCGAGUUACCGGAAGGAUAAUAAUAUUGUCUCUCCAGAAAACUAUGGACUUAUUAAAGUGUAGUCACCAGAAAAUCAUGGGCUUACUAUAAUAUUAUUUAACUACCGACUUACCAGAAGGAUAAUAAUAUUAUCUCCGCAGAAAACUAUGGACUUAUUAUACUGUAGUCUCUACAAAAUCAUGGACUUGCUAUAAUAUUAUUUAACUACUGACUUACCGGAAGGAUAAUAAUAUUAUCUCUCCAGAAACUAUGGACCUAUUAUAAUAGUUUUAGAAAAUCAUGGACUUACUAUAAUGUUAUUUAACUACCGAGUUACCGGAAAUUCAUAGGAACAUGCAGGUGCCCGGGCACGCAUCUGCCAAGCCCUGCCCAGCCACUUGACUGCCUUACGAUUCACGAAGUAAUUGGAUCCUGCACAAGGGCACGAUAAAUUUUGUGUUUCUAUCAUUUAAACUUACAAUUUGCUAAUUGAAACUUGCGAUUUCUCACUCUCUUACAAAGUUUCAUAGCAAAAAUUUGAAGGAAUUUUUUUAUUGGUCAUCGGCACAAAAAUCAUGAUUUUAUCGGGCAACCGUACUAAGUUUCAAAAGUUGAAACGUAAAAUUUAUUUUCAAAAACUGAAAAACAUAUUCAAAAUGAAUCUUAUUUGAAAGCCCUCGUCGCGAGAAACAUGAAUAUGAAAACAAAACUUAAUUUGAACAUUGCGUUCAAAAGAUAUAAAAGUUUGAAAAUCAAAGCGAAAAAUAAAUGCACGCGCGAGGGACUCGGUGCCCUAAGACCUGAGUGCCACAAAUCCACGUCCGCCUAGCUACAUCAGAGUGAAUUUUUGGGUCCCGAAGGACAUGCGUCUCGGUAUCAUGUGCUUUUGGUGUGGAGAUAUGUGAUAUAUGUGUUUUACUCUUUCUUUUUACUAAUGCCAUUUGAGUUUCACUCUGACAAUGCAAGGGCAAUAAUGGGAGGGAAACAUAUGUUUUUUUUUAUAGAAGACGACCCAAGAAGAGUUCGGCUUUGAAUUAACAAAACCAUCAACCGGCCAGAGAUUACACAAGGCCAACAAAUAACAAUGGCCGGAAAAUACAUGGAGCUGGAAUUGUAGCUUACAAAGCAACAGACAAAACGAGUAAAAGAAAUAUAAUUGUAAGCACAGCUAGCCUGUGUGUCGCCCACCACCCUCAAGAUCCUAAAUCGCUAAGAAGACCAGAUAGCCAAAGGAGUCGCCGAAUGCCAGGGAGAACGCCAACAAGCUGACUCCACUAGGCUUGGAUGACAAUGAUCCUUCCUUCUCGGUUACCUAAGAGGGACAUCCUUCCUUCUUUGUUACCUAAGAGGGACCCAACACUCUCGUCCUAGCUCGAUGGACACCGCACCGUCAGUAAGAAGAGGUGCUCUCCAGAGAGCUAGGCAAGUAUCCGGCCACACAAAACAUGGAUGAUCACAACAAACGCUUUGCCCAAGCCAAAAGCACACCUUGCCGGCCGCAACGCCACUAUCCCCAGGAACCCAAGCGAGUAUGAAAAGCCAACUUUGGUAUUCGAACACACAAGGAUCUACACCAGGGCCGAGCCAAGGCGACGGACGCAUAGAACACAGGAGAAGCCAUCAUAAAGGGGAACGGGGCAUCCAGAGUCAAGGGUGUGCCGCCGGCGCUAGGAAAGAGAUCCUUGUCCCCUUCCACCCAGGGACGCAAAAGUCCCAUUGGGAUAUGGCAGGGCAUGCCCGAGUGAGGGAUACCUGAGCGAGGGAUGCCACUCGGAUGAGGUUGAGGAGAAAAUGAAAGUAGAUAUGGCAGUACACAUGGCAAAGUGUGGAUGAUAAGUACAGAAAGAAGCGGAGUGCUAUAGUGGUGGGACAUGUAAGAGACUAUUCAGAAAGAGCUCUUUUACAGUACCCUUAAAUCAACACAGAUCGUCCGUUUUCUUUAAUCCAACGGAUGUUGCUUAUUGGUACUCCAGCGCAGAGUGUUAGGGAGUACUAGUACCAAGUGUUAAGCAGUACCUCCAGUUCAAGGGUAAAAACGUGACAGCAGAUACGUAAAAACAGAAAACGUAACAGAAGAUGACAAAUAACGUGCGCCUAAUAUUCAGAUCGAACAGUUACCUUGAAGAUCCUAAAAAAAAAAGAACAGUUACCUUGAAUGAUCUGAUUUCUUUUAGGAAUACACCGUUUAUUUUUUGCGAAUAGGAAUAAAAGAUUUGACUGGAUAUCGUUUCUACGUGCUUGAACGGCUGCUCGUAUGGAUUCAAUGCACAAGAACUACAUGCAUCUGCUGGCGUUCUGUUCUUUUUUGCAAGUUCGUCGUUUUCAAUCUACGAAGUUCUUACUAACACUCAAGUAUCUAUAUCGGAUUUUUGUUCAAAUUAAGGACCAAUCUCAGCAGUCGAAAAUAUGCACACAUGGAGAAAGGGGUCGAGACGGACGAUGAGAUAUCAAAUGCACAAGAUCGAUGUUACAGAGGUGGAAUUGCCUCAUACAUCAGCAGCGCUAUGAGCGAAGUGGAGAAACCAUCGGCGGUGUGGCGGCCGAGCAUCAGGAAGAUAGUUAGACCUGCGAAGAGGAUGAUUGGUGCGCUGAAGGAAGGGCAGGUCCGCAGUUGAGAGGGAUACGAGGAAGAUCACUUGACGGCGUUCCAAGGGGAGAGCCGCGUGAUUGUAUCAAAGGAUUUUUUUUUUCAUCGUCAACGAAAUAGACUGGAAGAUUUAUUAAUAAAAAGAUUUAUUUUGGGAAAAUUUUAUAGCAACACAAAAGGUCCAUAAUACCCCUUAGAAUCGAUGGUUCGAUUUAAUUGGUACUCCCUGUUCUAUUUUGGAGUACCAGGGUACCGUAAAAGAGCUCAUUCACAAAAGGGCAAGACAACUAUGAAUUUGACUUGGGGCGACACAGGGUGACGGUUAUUCUUUCAAGUUUUACACAGGCGGUCAAGGAUAGCUAGGAUAUUGAGUUCAUCUAACUCAUAUAUGUCACGUUCAAUAUGUGAGUUGUUCACUUUGACACAGAUCAGUGAAGAAGCUACCAUCGUGAAUAUACAACAGUGUUGUCAAAUAAGGUGACAAUAUGGAAGGUGUGUGAUGGCAUUGAAUGGAUACUCUGGAAGUUUGGAGCGCAAACUAGAGUAAAUAGUAACUUAAUUGUCCUUGAGUGUUGACCGUGAAGAAGAAAGAGGGAACUACAGUUGCUGGCUGAGCCACAUGGAGUUUGGGAGUAGCAGCGAUGCUCAUGGCUUAACUCAAGUCCAAUAUACAUGGGGGUUUGACGCAUGGAUGAAUCUAAGGUGAUGAACAAUAUUCGCAAGGGUAGAGUUUGUUAGAGUUUUAUCGAAUAUUUUGUACAAGGUAGGUUACACUUGGACUUGGAGUCGUAUAGUUUGUAGACAUGAAAUGGUCUACUAUCCUAGUAGGACUCUUGUAUCCUAAGCCUAUUAUAUAAUGAGAGGGUAGACACACGAUGUAACCUAUGCCAACAUAAUAGCAUAAACAAGUUGGGAGAGUUGGUGGCGUGUGCCGGCGCCCGGGCGACCAGAGUGUGGUAUUGUGGUGGUGUCACGGGAUGAGUGCCGGUAGUCAUGCCCCUGAUUGUAGCCAUGUUCGUGAGCCUCAUUAACGAUCUCAGUGUCAUGCCUCGUGUGAUUGUUUGGUCCUCGAACGAUCGAUGAUGUGCCUCAGAUUAUUCUAACAUAUUUGACAUAAGGAUUGGAUCCAUAAGCAAGAAAUGUCAGAUUAUGAUGCAUAUUGUCUAAGCUUCAUGGACCGAAAGAUAAUAACAUAGGAGAUAGUGAGUGGUGCAGAUUUAGACGUGAUUGACAUGGAAUAUAUCUCCUAACAUUGACAACGGUUAGAUAAGAGAUUGUGUUGUAAUUGAGACCGUUGUCACAAAUCAUGUGUCGUCAGGUGUUACUGAUAUCAGAUAUGGCACAAGUUCGUGUUAGGCCUCCUCCCCGGGGUUCAUUGGGCAGAUGAAGCAGCACUUUGAGCGAAAACUAUGAGUCGACAAGUGUCUACGCCACCAUUGACGGUGCUUGUGGGGCGUCUUGUCCUCCUUGAAAGCAUCAUCAAAAUAGUUUGUUUGAUUUUCUUUGUCGGAUAAUGGUCAUCUGGAUAUGAGGGGACACACCAAUGGUAAGAUAGGUCAGACCUUCCCAUGGGCUCAUUGAGGCGGUGAUGUGCAAUUCUCUAAGCGAAAUACUUGAGUCCAAGGUGUUUCCGGUGAUAGUGGCAUCCAUAGUUCUCAUUUUCUUCAUGGAAUAGUCACCAAAGAGCUCACACCCUACCCAUGGUCGAUGGAUGUGCUUGGUGGUGGAGGCCAACUUCUUGGGUAGUUGUUUUUCUCUUUGCGGACGCGGGUCCUGGCAAAAGGUGGGGAGUACUAGGAUACCAACAUCGUUGCUUGUUUGCCCUUGCAUAAGCUCUCAUUUUACUAGGUGGCUCUCCUACUUUUAUGGUUUUGACUGUUAUCUUUCAUAACCGUGUUUUUCAAGUUCCACAUUCUGGUUUUCCACAAAGCUAUUUCAAUUCUACAUUCUCAAAUACUUCCUCCGUUCCUAAAUAUAAGUCCUUUUAGAGAUUCCAAUAAGGAACUACAUACGAAGCAAAAUGAGUGAAACUACACUCUAAAAUAUGCCUAUAUACAUCCCAUGUAGUCCUUAUUGAAAUCUCUAAAGGACUAAUAUUUAGAACGGAUGGAGUAUAUGGUAUCCAUAUGUGAACAGAUAUAUGACACCAAGCACACUUACAUACAAACCAUAAUCAUAUUACGCGCUCUCUGACUUAUUCUAUUAUCCAUUCACUUACCAUGCAUCAACUCUUAUUGUAUAUGAUCUAUAUAUCUCAAUCUUGCUAUAUCCAAGAAGAGAUUAUCAAGCUACAAUACAUAUAUGCCAGGAGCAGGCUAGCUCUUAAGCUUGCUAGCCGACCCUGGGGACCUGCGCAAUUUUGUCGAGACUGUCAACAAAGAGGCGGACACGGUCGAUUCGAUAUUCCAUGGUCACAACUGUCCCCACCGGCAGAACUACGAUCUGUGCCUCUGACUUGUCUUGCAAAAUCACCUUCUUGGCCUCCUCCACCGACUUCCCUACCAACUCUGGCCACUCCGUCUUCUGGUUGUGAUGGUCACCAGUAUCGGUGUUCCCUCCCUCCGGCUUCUUCACCACAGAACUCAUCCUUGUGACGCUUGCUUCCUUUGAUAAAAAAAAUAACCGAAAUUGUCACAGAAAAUAACCUGCAGAAAACUAUAAUAACAGAGAAGAUCAAAUAUGCACAUACUAACCUGUGAGACUGAUUAAAUCGCCUGUGCGACUGUGAGAUGUUGAACUGUCAUGUCCUCACCUUAAUGUGUAUUUAUAGGCAAUCAGGCUCGACUCCUUAUAAUGCGUAGUUCUGCACACAAAGUAAGCUAAUGGUGUACUCCUUGCUAACUUCGCAUGGAUGGUGGUAGCUUGAACGAAGAUAUCCCAUUUGGCUUUAUUUAGAGUAUUACGUGCCUACACAUCAUCAGAUAAAGUGAUGCUUAUCUACCUCGAGCAGAAAAGGGUGAAUGAAAUCUUGCACGGAACAUUAUGGAAGGUUGUCAUAUCUUGGUCCUGGAUUACACGUAGACUGCAAACAAAACAAGAAUCAUCACAUGCCCGGCCUAUUUUUGUAGGAGAACACGACACUGCAUACAACUCAACCAGACAGAUAAAGAACUUUUCUUAGCAUAAAGAAUCAAAUUUAUUGUUAAGGCUCUGCAUAAUAACAUUCAAGGCAAGCUAAGAAGUUUGUACUCCACCAAAAAAAUAACUUACACUCCACAAACCUAUUUUUCUAUUUCUUUCCCUUCAAGUUUUCACUACAACUUCCUUUCACAUUAGUGUGCACCAAAAUAUCUUCAUCUCUAUCUUCAUAUGUAAUAAUUUAUAUUUUUUAUGUUUGAAACAUCAAGUGGAGGUACCGUGUAUACUAGCUUCCAAAAAUAUUUAUGUACAAUACUUUUUUUAUGGGACAUAUCUACAGUACUUCAAUUUGUUUCAACAUGGAACAUACUACAUUAUAAUGUUAAUCGCAUAGUUACGCAAUUUUUUGAAAUCAUUUUCUAUAUUAUCAAGCCAUUAAAUUAAUAUCUAGCUAGUUUAAGUAUAAUUAAAAUUUAAGCUACUUGUAUCUUCAUAAGGACUCUAGAUUUGAAAAAAAUAGUAUUUAUGUAAAUUUGUAGUUUGUAUCAGAAAUUUAUGUAAAAACAUAUUUAAAUUUUGCUUUUGGAAUUCAAACAUUUAUAUUGUAUAGGCGGUUAAGUUGCCGGUGUGGUUCGGCCUGUCUGGAGCCAAAUCCUGGUUGUGCCUUGGGAUUGGGCCGUCGUUUUUCUGUCCGAUAGUUGCGCAUUGCUUCGAAAUGCUAUUUGCGAUCAGUGCAGGGAGAAUUUUGGUGAUGAAUUUCAAGUUAUGAUAGUUGCCAUUGAACCCUAGAUCUAGGUAGUUGUUUUUCAAAGUGCAGUAUGAAUGCAAACAUGGUAGUUUGAGUAACUAUCUGCACCGUAUGGCAACUAAUUUCCUGAUUGGUUGUGAUAGUUGCCACAAAUAUGUUUUCCAUGUGGCAACUAAUUUCGUGCACAUGCUACGGCUGUUGCCACGCUGUAGGCAUGGUAAAGUGUAGUAAAUAGGUAGUCAUUGCUGUUUCAGCAACUAUGUGCACUGGAUGGCAACUAAUUUCCACAUCAACUGUGUCAGUUGCCACAUAUAUGCUUUCCAUGUAGCAAGUAUUUCUGUGAACACACUAUGACUGUUGCCAUGUUGUAGGCAGGAUAAUGUGGCAAAUUCACUGUACUACAGACCCAAAUUUGUGUUUUGCCACGCUGACUUGUGGCAACUGACAGGAUAAUGUGGCAUGGCAAAGUAUAGUAACUAGGUUGUCAUGUUAGUUUCAGCAACUAUGUGCACUGGAUGGCAACUAAUUUCCACAUCAACUGUGCCAGUUGCCAUAUAUAUGCUUUCCAUGUGGCAAGUAUUUCUGUGAACACACCAUGGCUGUUGCCAUGUUGUAGGCAGGAUAAUGUGGCAAAUUCAUUGUACUGCAGACCCAGUUUCGUGUUUUGCCACGCUGACUUGUGAUAUCUGAACAUAUUUGGCCGUACUAAAUGGCAACUCAUUUUUAAUAUGAGGUCAGUGUGUGCAUUGCAAUUUCAGGUUGUUCAGUAGAUGUUUUUCAACGCUUUUUUGAUUUUUGUGUUGCAUUUUAACAUGGCAAAUUCAACCUAGCACAUUUGCCUUUGAACACAUGGCAACUCAUUUUUGUAUGAGGACAGGGUGUGAGCUGCCACAUUUUGUGUUUGUGCAGUGGAAGAUUUGUGCCUUUCUUUCGUAAUAUCUUGUGCUAACAUGGCAACUUCAACAUUUUGUUUUAAGUGCAUUACGAUCUGUACAUUUUUUAAAUGAAGCCAGUGUGUUUAAUUGCCACAUUUAUGUUUUCGACAAUCAUAGGGGUGCGUGUGUGUUCAUGUGAUAUUUGCCUUCACUAUUUGCCAUUUCAAUUGAGCCCAUGUGGCAAGCACAUUCUGUUAGGUGGCAACUGCUUACUUCCUACAUUUCAUUUCCACCCUGACAAUUUGGUUUGUUCUUACCUCAGCAGAAUGGCUCGCGGUGAUCAUCAAAACGAUGAUGAUGAUUUCAUGGAUGCACCGCAGCAGAAUCGGGCAACUGGACGGAGAAAAGACGGCGAUGAGGUAACUGUCUCCUUCCCCCUGCAUAUGUUUUUGGAUGCCACAUCGAGCUUGCAAUCGUCUGUUAUGAACUAAAUUUUCAUGACAGUGAAAACAUGACAACAAAUGAUCAUUUGUCUGUUUUGCAGAAGAAGAAACGUACUCGCAAUAGGGCCUCGCAGGAACGCCUGACUUCAUUGACCGACAGAUUUACCGACGAUCAGAAGGGAGCUGCUGCUGAGAUGGGUAUGCAGGCUCUGAUGGAUAUCCGGUGCAAGAAUCUAGUGAACCCUGUAUGCGACUGGCUUGGUGAGAUUUACGACCCCGCCUCCAGGGAAUUUGUGAUUCCGGGACGUGGAAGACUGCCGUUGGACGAGGAAUCCGUGUUCUGCACUUUGGGUGUGCCCCGUGGAGAAAUCAAAGUCCCGUACGAGGUCAAUAAUAAGAUCGAGGAAACGUUGUUCCCCUGUUUGUUUCCUGGGUUGGAAUCCAUGCCGAACACGACUUUCCUGGCAGAUUCGCUGUAGGUCAUGACAACCCAUGGCGAGGUUUUUAUGAUGGAGCUACUCAUGUACCUCAUCUCAGCUGUUUUCGCGCCGACCACUUCUCUUCGCCCAAGCAACAAAUGCUUCCCCAUCCUGGUGAAUGAUCUAUCUAUACUCCAUUAUGUCCUUCAAUCUUUUGGCUCCGAUGUCAUGUGUAAGCUAGUCACUGCCAGUUUUUUUUAUGUUUUUCCAUUUGAUUUCUGAUGCGGCAACUUGUUAUCCUGAAAAUUAUGCCGUGCAGGCGAAACUGAAAGAUGUGAAGAACAUGAAAUGGUGUAAGUUCAUCGCCGACUUCCUACAUGAUGCAUUCUCAAACAAGAUGUACCAGAAGAGUUGUCGACUGCAUUUAAUGGUAUUUUUUUACCAGUCCUUUUUGUGAACACUCUUUAACACCUUUAUUUAUGCAUGGCAACCAUGAUCAUAACAAGAUGGCAACUGCCAUCAUACCAUGAUGGCAACUAGUACAGAUAGAUGGCAACUUCUUCUUUUCUUUUCAUGCACUUCAACUUGAUGAUUGUAGGAACAUACAUUAGCUUGUUUUUGUAAAAUACCAUGAUGGCAACUGAUAUUUUUUCCUUUUAAAAUUGUUGUACAUCAGCUCAUGUACGUCGACUGUCUUGAUCUGUCUACCGUGGACUUCACUGGGAUAGGAGGCCCGCCGCCAACACACAAGUUUGAUGUUUCUGCGUGGACUUACGAUGUUGUCAAGGCUGUGCUUGCUGCAGACAGGGUAACUGAUACCAAAUAUGGAAAACUGCAGGUUAGUUCUGGUUUCUUUCUCUACACGGCAUUCUUACAAUUUUUUGCUGCAUAACAUAUGAAAAAUCCUCAUGUGGCAACCGUCUAUGGCUAACAAGAGAUGACUACCUUGUUAGCCAUGGCUGUCUGCGCAUGGUAUCCAUGUCUCACUCCACAUGGCAACUCUGUCAUCCGUGCUGAAACUUCUAGUCUCUUCCUCUUUUUUUUGUUUUAUUUGCAAUACAUGAACUGUUAGUUAGUGUUCAUCAUUUUCUCUCUUACAUCCUAGCUAUUUUUUUGUUUUUUCCAGCUGAUGGCCAAGCAUGCUAUAGACUACAGCGUGUUUGGGGGCCUCAAAACUUUGGAAAGUGGAUGGACGUGCACUCAGCUCCGUCUUGCCCUACUGAGGUAAUCAAGGAUAUAUAUCUAUGGUUGCUUUGGAUUAUUUUUGAUCUUGUGCAAGUGACUCUAAUAUGGUUGGUUAUUGCUGCUUCUUGUUUCGUGCACAGGUGAGGGCACCUGUUGAGCAUCUAAUUGGGCAGAUUGCAUCCGGAAUGACCAGCUUGCUUGGGGAGUUGGUUGAGGGUUGGACGUCCCUAAAUGGCUCUGACAGAGACGCGGUUGCGAGGCAGUUCACUACAUUUGUUGCAGAACGGACACAUCGGCCAACUGGUUGCCGUGGCCGGUACGACUACAACAGCUCCCAAGAGCUUGCUAACACACAAGAUGAACUAGAUGGAGAUGCUGCUCUCAACAAGGACGAUGACGAUGACAUGGAGAACGUGCAGCACGACACCGAUGAUGAUAAACAUGUUGAAGUUCGUGCAGGUGGUAAGAAGGGCAAGGCUGCACCAGAUGUCCCCUCACCGGAGAAAGUCAAAGAACAUACAACUGCGAGAGGCGAGGGGGUGUUGCCCUCAAAGAGGGGGAGGGCUCCAGAGGAUGUUGGGCAGGGUUCUCCUGGCAAGAGGUCUAGGACCGAUCCCGUAGCUGCUAGGAGGAGGUUCGACUUCUAUUUUAGUGUUUUGUUUUGUCUAUCUUUUUUGAACAGACUGACCCUUUUUUGCAUUUGUUUUGCUAAGCACGGCAAUGAGUUUCCUGUCUAACACUUGCCACCUUUUUUUUGCCACUAUCUUAUACGUGCAGUGAGGCGACAACUUGUGGACGAGCAGUUACGAAGAAACAGGCACCAACGCCAACCCGUGUUUCUGCUCUAUUGAACAAAGGUGCCCCCAUUGCUGGUGACACCCCUUCCACCAGGUCAUCUCCUCGUAUGAUGACGUCCAACACCGGGGAUCCUGUCGUGUUGCCAGACAUGAGAAAGCCAGUCAAGAAGUAGGUUUUCCCUGUUCUUUCAUUGCCAUAGUGCUAUAUUUUUGAUUUUUCAAUGCAUCUGUUCAGCUUGCCACAUGGGCUACUGUCAUUAGUCCCACAUGGCAACUACUGUUUUUCCAAUGAUCUCUUUCUUUUUUAACGGCAUGGCAACUCCUGCUUGGUUUUGCAUGGCAACUGCUAUCUAGGCCAAAUGGCAACUCUUAUUGUACCUACAUGGCAACUACCAUCUUUCCAUUAGCUUGUGUGCUCAUCCCAUACCUAGUUUUGAAAUUGCAUUCCUGGCAGAUCAUACAUUUUUUUCAUUCUUCAAGUUGGCUAGCAUGGCAACUCUUGCUGGUUUUGCAUGGCAACUGCUAACUAUGCCACAUGGCAACUCUUAUUCCACCUACAUGGAAACUACCAGCUUUCCACCUAAUUUUCAUUUUUUUAGAUUUCUACCAUGGCAAAUAUUUUUUGUUCAUUUCUUAAUACCUUUUCAUGUGCUUUUCUUUUUGCAGGGUGAAGAAGACUACUACACGCGCGGCCAAGCAUAUCAUUAGGGACCCACUCGAACGCCUUCAUUCAAAGUUGUCAACAGGUGGCACCUGAGAUGUUCAUGAGGCGCCAGUCGACAAAACUGCUGCUGCACUGUCAACUGUUCCCACUAACUCUGACGCAAGUGGCCGACCAUCUCCGCUGGUUGCAGAUGUGCAGGCUACAACAACAGGCAUCCGUACAUCGGGGAGUGACGAGUCGGUAUCUGCCAGGACUGCUGAAAUAUUGCCCACUCUGCUGGCAAUGAAGGAUGCUACUGUGAGCCAUGCCACCCCAUUAGCAGCGUUGAAGUGGACGCCCCCGAGACCAACCUAAGCAAGGAAGAUUCCCGCUCAUCUGACAUGGAUUCCAAGCGCGUGCGUGGCGGCACUCCUGUCACUACUAGGGAAAAGCCUAGCAGUAGCGCGGGUUUUAGGCCUAUCAGUAGCGCGGGACGAUGCGCUACUGAUAAGGCGCUACAGCUAACGUAUAGCAGUAGCGCCUGUCGUCCCACGCCACUGCUAUACAUGGAUAGCUGUAGCGCGCUUCAGAGAAGAGCGCUGCUGAUAUUAUCGGCAGCGCUUUUUAUAGGGAGGCGCUACUGGUAAGGCGGCGCAACUGCUAACUUUUUUCCCUCGCUACUACUAGUUUUAUUAGUUUUUUAUUUUGUAUUUGAAUAGGCUUUAUACAGUAAUCUUUAGCAUAUCAUACACAUACAAAUGUAAUCAUAGCAUAUACAUACAACUAGUCUCAUCAAAUCAUGUCAUCAUCAUAAUCAUCAUCCAACACAAAGUGGUCUCUCGUCAUCAUCUCGAAAAUAGCGAUUCAAGUCUCGAUUACUUGCAAAUACAUCGUCAUCCAUCUAAACAAUGAUAUACGCGAGAAGAGAUAUCAUUGAGUGAGAGCGGAACUAUGCAGUACAUGAGUUCGUAUCCCUCUCUCGCAUUAGCGUGAACCUAAACUAACUACUACCUGUCGCUCGGAAACUGGAAACCGGUACACCUGGGCCUGACACUCCGGCCACUCAUCGUAUAUAUACUCCUGGCGUAGCACUUUUCGCCAUCGAUGAUCUAUGCACCUGCAUCGUCACAUGAGUCGAUGAUAUGCAACAUACAUAGUUGAGCAAUAGAAAGAGACAGACUUGGCAAAAAUAGAAACAUCAUAUCAUAAGCAUAAAUAACAAAGUUCAUCGUACCCAAAAUGCCCUAAGUAGAGUGAUCUUCGCUAGUCGAGGAGGAGGACGGUUUAAUUACAUCACAAAUAAAGUUUCGCCGUGCAUAACUCAAAGUUUUGUCAUACAGAAAGUAUGGACUAAACGGACACAUUGUCAUAUAUCGACAAUCACUCCAACAUGUCGUGCCAUCCAUCCAUGUCAUGGAGAUAGUCCCCGAGCUUAGUGAAAGGCUUCAUGUCGAGAUGCUGAGAGGCUACCCAUGUUCGGACGUCUUCGCACGAAAUUUGUCCUUCUCCGUAGAACAUCCCUGUUUUUCCGACGACCUCCUUCAUGAUGAUUUGGGCAAGUUCGCACUGGAUGUUAUAGAACUCAGCUCGAAGUCGAUGAUCCUCGAUAUCUCCUAUGUCAUUUGCCCAGUGCAGAAUAUGGGCAUCGCCGGAUCUAGGUGACAUGCGAAGGAUCUGGUGAUCCCGUCUGUACUCCAGCAUGUGGUGUAGGACAUAGAAUCCAUCAUUAAGAGAAUCGCUCGGUUGCUGGAUCCAGCAGAAGUCGGUCUUAUGGCCGAAGGCGAGCCUGUCGCCCCUUCUCUUCUUGUCCUUGACCUCUCCACCCCAUGCUUGGUAGUAAAACAUAGCACUGUCGAGAACAUCCUUGAUGUGGGUGUAAUCCUUUUUGUGAAUGUUCUUCGACGAGUCCAUGUAAAGAGCGUGGGAGUAUCGGGGGUAGAGGAUGAUGAGGACGAGGCGCCCGCAGCUGCGCAAAAUAAGUACACCUCAAAUUAAUUAGCCUCCACCGUGCAAAUGAAUGAUUGAAAUCGAAGGAAGGAUAGCCGCGCGGAUGACUUACACGGGAUGAUAAGGCACGAGAAUCGCCUCCUUGUCCUUAUUGGCGAGCAUGAAACUGACGAUGUAUUCCCUCGCGUAUUCACAGUGCUUUGCGCAGACUCCCAAGAAGCCCUCGUGCAUGUAGUACGGGUCAGCGACACAGAUAUGAGGUAUCUGCUCAACCCCGAUGAUGUAGUUCAUGUGCAAGGCAUAAAGGCGGACAAACGUAAAAUCCAGCUUCUUCAGGUGAAACAUGUCGAAUAUGUAAUCGAAUAGAAGGAAGAACUUAUCCGCGGGGAAGCAGUCGACGUACGACAUUUGCUGCGGAACGUUAACCACGUAGAGUGGGUAUCCUAGAUCUUUCGAGGCGAUGAGGCCUUUCUCUAUCCGCAGCACAUUGUCAUGAAGUCUCCUUAGAUCGCCGAAUCUGGCCCCUAGCGCUCUUGCAGGUAGGAUUGGUUGACCGGGGAUAUGCCAUUUAUCCGCAUCGGGGAUAUCUAUACGGUCCUGAAGCCGAGGCUGCUGAGGCGGCUGGAUCAUAGAAUCAGCUUUUUUGCCUUUCCUCGCUCUCUUCCUAGACUUCUUUACUACCAGAAGGUCGUCCAUCAUAUGUUCAGCCUCCGGAGACGGCAAUUCAGGCACCGACUCAUGACGCUCAGACCCUGAGUAGGCGCCAGUAUAGACAUGCUGUUGAGUGCCAUCGUCAUCCUCAUCCUCAUCCAUGGCGACGUCAUCAGCGACUAAUGGAGCUUCCUCCUUACCCCAUCCGCUGUUGGAAAUAUGCCCUAGAGGCAAUAAUAAAUGGUUAUUAUUAUAUUUCUGUGUUCAUGAUAAUAGUCUUUUAUUCAUGCUAUAAUUGUAUUGUCCGGAAAUCGUAAUACAUGUGUGAAUACAUAGACCACAACCUGUCCCUAGUAAGCCUCUAGUUGACUAGCUCGUUGAUCAACAGAUAGUCAUGGUUUCCUGACUAUGGACAUAGGAUGUCAUUGAUAACGGGAUCACAUCAUUAGGAGAAUGAUGUGAUGGACAAGACCCAACUUAAGCAUAGCAUAAAAGAUCGUGUAGUUUCGUUUGCUAGAGCUUUUCCAAUGUCAAGUAUCUUUUCCUUAGACCAUGAGAUCGUGCAACUCCCGGAUACCGUAGGAGUGCUUUGGGUGUGCCAAACGUCACAACGUAACUGGGUGACUAUAAAGGUGUAUUACGGGUAUCUCCGAAAGUGUCUGUUGGGUUGGCACGGAUCGAGACUGGGAUUUGUCACUCCGUGUAAACGGAGAGGUAUCUCUGGGCCCACUCGGUAAUGCAUCAUCAUAAUGAGCUCAAUGUGACUAAGGCGUUAGUCACGGGAUCAUGCAUUGCGGUACGAGUAAAGAGACUUGCCGGUAACGAGAUUGAACAAGGUAUUGGGAUACCGACGAUCGAAUCUCGGGCAAGUAACAUACCGAUUGACAAAGGGAAUUGCAUACGGAUUGAUUGAAUCCUCGACACCGUGGUUCACCCGAUGAUAUCAUCGUGGAACAUGUGGGAGCCAACAUGGGUAUCCAGAUCCCGCUGUUGGUUAUUGACCGGAGAGGCGUCUCGGUCAUGUCUGCAUGUCUCCCGAACCCGUAGGGUCUACACACUUAAGGUCCGGUGACGCUAGGGUUGUAGAGAUAUAUGUAUGCGGAAACCCGAAAGUUGUUCGGAGUCCCAGAUGAGAUCCCGGACGUCACGAGAGGUUCCGGAAUGGUCCGGAGGUGAAGAAUUAUAUAUAGGAAGUCCAGUUUUGGCCACCGGGAAAGUUUCGGGGGUUAUCGGUAUUGUACCGGGACCACCGGAAGGGUCCCGGGGGUCCACCGGGUGGGGCCACCUGUCCCGGAGGGCCCCGUGGGCUGAAAGUGGAGGGGAACCAGCCCCUAAUGGGCUGGGGCGCCACUUUGGGCCUCCCCCCAUGCGCCUAGGGUUGGGAACCCUAGGGGGGGGGAGUUUCCCCUUGCCUUGGGGGGCAAGGCAACCCCUUCCCCCUUGGCCGCCGCCCCCCCCUUGGAGAUCCCAUCUCCAAGGGCUGCGCACCCCCCUUGGGGGCCUAUAUAAAGGGGGGGGAGGGAGGGCAGCACACUACAGCCUUUGGCGCCUCCCUCCUCCCCUGCAACACCUCUCUCUCGCGCGCAGAAGCUCGGCGAAGGCCUGCCGGAGAGCCGCUACAUCCACCACCACGCCGUCGUGCUGUUGGAUCUCCAUCAACCUCUCCUCCCCCCUUGCUGGAUCAAGAAAGGAGGAGACGUCGCUGCACCGUACGUGUGUUGAACGCGGAGGUGCCGUCCGUUCGGCACUCGGUCAUCGGUGAUUUGGAUCACGGCGAGUACGACUCCGUCAUCCACGUUCAUUGGAACGCUUCCGCUCGCGAUCUACAAGGGUAUGUAGAUCCACUCCUUUCCCCUCGUUGCUAGUAGACUCCAUAGAUGCAUCUUGGUGAGCGUAGGAAAAUUUUAAAUUAUGCUACGAUUACCAACAGUGGCAUCAUGAGCCAGGCCUAUGCGUAGUUACUAUGCACGAGUAGAACACAAAGAAGUUGUGGGCGUUGAUGUUGCCAAUUCUUCUUGCCGCUACUAGUCGUUUCUUGUUUCGGCGGCAUUGUAGGAUGAAGCGGCCCGGACCGACCUUACACGUACGCUUACGUGAGACAGGUUCCACCGACUGACAUGCACUAGUUGCAUAAGGUGGCUAGCGGGUGUCUGUCUCUCCUACUUUAGUCGGAAUGGAUUCGAUGAAAAGGGUCCUUAUGAAGGGUAAAUAGAAAUUGGCAAAUCACGUUGUGGUCAUACGUAGGUAAGAAACGUUCUUGCUAGAAACCUACAAACCACGUAAAAACUUGCAACAACAAUUAGAGGACGUCUAACUUGUUUUUGCAGCAAGUGCUAUGUGAUGUGAUAUGGCCAGAAGAUGUGAUGAAUGAUAUAUGUGAUGUAUGAGAUUGAUCAUAUUCUUGUAAUAGGAAUCACGACUUGCAUGUCGAUGAGUACGACAACCGGCAGGAGCCAUAGGAGUUGUCUUUAUUAUUUUGUAUGACCUGCGUGUCAUUGAAUAACGCCAUGUAAAUUACUUUACUUUGUUGCUAAACGAGUUAGCCAUAGAAGUAGAAGUAAUCGUUGGCGUGACGACUUCAUGAAGACACAAUGAUGGAGAUCAUGAUGAUGGAGAUCAUGGUGUCAUGCCGGUGACGAAGAUGAUCAUGGUGCCCCGAAGAUGGAGAUCAAAGGAGCAUGAUGAUAUUGGCCAUAUCAUGUCACUAUUUGAUUGCAUGUGAUGUUUAUCAUGUUUUUGCAUCUUAUUUGCUUAGAACGACGGUAGUAAGUAAGAUGAUCCCUUAUAAUAAUUUCAAGAAAGUGUUCACCCUAACUGUGCACCGUUGCGAAGGUUCGUUGUUUCGAAGCACCACGUGAUGAUCGGGUGUGAUAGAUUCUAACGUUCGAAUACAACGGGUGUUGACGAGCCUAGCAUGUACAGACAUGGCCUCGGAACACACGCAAUACACUUAGGUUGACUUGACGAGCCUAGCAUGUACAGACAUGGCCUCGGAACACGGAGGACCGAAAUGUUGGAAAUAUGCCCUAGAGGCAAUAAUAAAUGGUUAUUAUUAUAUUUCUGUGUUCAUGAUAAUAGUCUUUUAUUCAUGCUAUAAUUGUAUUGUCCGGAAAUCGUAAUACAUGUGUGAAUACAUAGACCACAACCUGUCCCUAGUAAGCCUCUAGUUGACUAGCUCGUUGAUCAACAGAUAGUCAUGGUUUCCUGACUAUGGACAUAGGAUGUCAUUGAUAACGGGAUCACAUCAUUAGGAGAAUGAUGUGAUGGACAAGACCCAAUCCUAAGCAUAGCAUAAAAGAUCGUGUAGUUUCGUUUGCUAGAGCUUUUCCAAUGUCAAGUAUCUUUUCCUUGGACCAUGAGAUCGUGCAACUCCCGGAUACCGUAGGAGUGCUUUGGGUGUGCCAAACGUCACAACGUAACUGGGUGACUAUAAAGGUGCAUUACGGGUAUCUCCGAAAGUGUCUGUUGGGUUGGCACGGAUCGAGACUGGGAUUUGUCACUCCGUGUAAACGGAGAGGUAUCUCUGGGCCCACUCGGUAAUGCAUCAUCAUAAUGAGCUCAAUGUGACUAAGGCGUUAGUCACGGGAUCAUGCAUUGCGGUACGAGUAAAGAGACUUGCCGGUAACGAGAUUGAACAAGGUAUUGGGAUACCGACGAUCGAAUCUCGGGCAAGUAACAUACCGAUUGACAAAGGGAAUUGCAUACGGAUUGAUUGAAUCCUCGACACCGUGGUUCACCCGAUGAUAUCAUCGUGGAACAUGUGGGAGCCCACAUGGGUAUCCAGAUCCCGCUGUUGGUUAUUGACCGGAGAGGCGUCUCGGUCAUGUCUGCAUGUCUCCCGAACCCGUAGGGUCUACACACUUAAGGUCCGGUGACGCUAGGGUUGUAGAGAUAUAUGUAUGCGGAAACCCGAAAGUUGUUCGGAGUCCCGGAUGAGAUCCCGGACGUCACGAGAGGUUCCGGAAUGGUCCGGAGGUGAAGAAUUAUAUAUAGGAAGUCCAGUUUUGGCCACCGGGAAAGUUUCGGGGGUUAUCGGUAUUGUACCGGGACCACCGGAAGGGUCCCGGGGGUCCACCGGGUGGGGCCACCUGUCCCGGAGGGCCCCGUGGGCUGAAAGUGGAGGGGAACCAGCCCCUAAUGGGCUGGGGCGCCACUUUGGGCCUCCCCCCCAUGCGCCUAGGGUUGGGAACCCUAGGGGGGGGGGAGUUUCCCCUUGCCUUGGGGGGCAAGGCAACCCCUUCCCCCUUGGCCGCCGCCCCCCCCUUGGAGAUCCCAUCUCCAAGGGCUGCGCACCCCCCUUGGGGGCCUAUAUAAAGGGGGGGGAGGGAGGGCAGCAUACUACAGCCUUUGGCGCCUCCCUCCUCCCCUGCAACACCUCUCUCUCGCGCGCAGAAGCUCGGCGAAGCCUUGCCGGAGAGCCGCUACAUCCACCACCACGCUGUCGUGCUGUUGGAUCUCCAUCAACCUCUCCUCCCCCCUUGCUGGAUCAAGAAAGGAGGAGACAUCGCUGCACCGUACGUGUGUUGAACGCGGAGGUGCCGUACGUUCGGCACUCGGUCAUCGGUGAUUUGGAUCACGGCGAGUACGACUCCGUCAUCCACGUUCAUUGGAACGCUUCCGCUCGCGAUCUACAAGGGUAUGUAGAUCCACUCCUUUCCCCUCGUUGCUAGUAGACUCCAUAGAUGCAUCUUGGUGAGCGUAGGAAAAUUUUAAAUUAUGCUACGAUUCCCAACAGUGGCAUCAUGAGCCAGGCCUAUGCGUAGUUACUAUGCACGAGUAGAACACAAAGAAGUUGUGGGCGUUGAUGUUGCCAAUUCUUCUUGCCGCUACUAGUCGUUUCUUGUUUCGGCGGCAUUGUAGGAUGAAGCGGCCCGGACCGACCUUACACGUACGCUUACGUGAGACAGGUUCCACCGACUGACAUGCACUAGUUGCAUAAGGUGGCUAGCGGGUGUCUGUCUCUCCUACUUUAGUCCGAACGGAUUCGAUGAAAAGGGUCCUUAUGAAGGGUAAAUAGAAAUUGGCAAAUCACGUUGUGGUCAUACGUAGGUAAGAAAUCGUUCUUGCUAGAAACCUACAAACCACGUAAAAACUUGCAACAACAAUUAGAGGACGUCUAACUUGUUUUUGCAGCAAGUGAUAUAUGUGAUAUGAUAUGGCCAGAAGAUGUGAUGAAUGAUAUAUGUGAUGUAUGAGAUUGAUCAUAUUCUUGUAAUAGGAAUCACGACUUGCAUGUCGAUGAGUAUGACAACCGGCAGGAGCCAUAGGAGUUGUCUUUAUUGUUUUGCAUGACCUGCGUGUCAUUGAAUAACGCCAUGUAAUUUACUUUACUUUGUUGCUAAACGGUUAGCCAUAGAAGUAGAAGUAAUCGUUGGCGUGACAACUUCAUGAAGACACAAUGAUGGAGAUCAUGAUGAUGGAGAUCAUGGUGUCAUGCCGGUGACGAAGAUGAUCAUGGUGCCCCGAAGAUGGAGAUCAAAGGAGCAUGAUGACAUUGGCCAUAUCAUGUCACUAUUUGAUUGCAUGUGAUGUUUAUCAUGUUUUUGCAUCUUAUUUGCUUAGAACGACGGUAGCAAGUAGGAUGAUCCCUUAUAAUAAUUUCAAGAAAGUGUUCACCCUAACUGUGCACCGUUGCGAAGGUUCGUCGUUUCGAAGCACCACGUGAUGAUCGGGUGUGAUAGAUUCUUACGUUCGCAUACAACGGGUGUUGACGAGCCUAGCAUGUACAGACAUGGCCUCGGAACACACGCAAUACACUUAGGUUGACUUGACGAGCCUAGCAUGUACAGACAUGGCCUCGGAACACGGAGGACCAAAAGGUCGAGCAUGAGUCGUAUAGAAGAUACGAUCAACAUGGAGAUGUUCACCGAUCUUGACUAGUCCGUCUCACGUGAUGAUCGGACACGGCCUAGUUGAGUUCGGAUCAUGUUUCACUUAGAUAACUAGAGGGAUGUCUAUCUGAGUGGGAGUUCAUUAGAUCAUUUGAUUAUAUGAACUUAAUUAUCAUGAACUUAGUCUAAAAAAUCUUUACACUAUGUAUUGUAGAUCAAAUGGCCCACGUUGUCCUCAAUUUCAACGCGUUCCUAGAGAAAACCAAGCUGAAAGAUGAUGGCAGCAACUAUACGGACUGGGUCCGGAACCUGAGGCUCAUCCUCAUAGUUGCCAAGAAAGAUUAUGUCUUAGAAGCACCGCUAGGUGAAGCACCAAUCCCUGAGAACCAAGACGUUAUGAACGCUUGGCAGCAGCGUGCUGAUGAUUACUCCCUCGUUCAGUGCGGCAUGCUUUACAGCUUAGAACCGGGUCUCCAAAAGCGUUUUGAGAAACAUGGAGCAUACGAGAUGUUCGAGGAGCUGAAACUGGUUUUUCAAGCUCAUGCCCGGGUCGAGAGAUAUGAUGUCUCCGACAAGUUCUUCAGCUGUAAAAUGGAGGAGAACAGUUCUGUUAGUGAGCACAUACUCAGAAUGUCUGGGUUGCACAACCGCUUGUCUCAGCUGGGAGUUAAUCUCCCGGAUGACGCGGUCAUUGACAGAAUCCUCCAGUCGCUUCCACCAAGCUACAAGAGCUUUGUGAUGAACUACAAUAUGCAGGGGAUGGAAAAGACCAUUCCCGAGGUGUAUUCAAUGCUGAAAUCAGCGGAAGGAGAGAUCAAAAAGGAACAUCAAGUGUUGAUGGUGAAUAAAACCACUAAGUUCAAGAAGGGCAAGGGUAAGAAGAACUUCAAGAAGGACGGCAAGGGAAUUGCCGCGCCCGGUAAGCCAGUUACCGGGAAGAAGUCAAAGAAUGGACCCAAGCCCGAGACUGAGUGCUCUUAUUGCAAGGGAAGUGGUCACUGGAAGCGGAACUGCCCCAAAUAUUUAGCGGACAAGAAGAAGGCCGGCAACACCCAAGGUAUAUGUGAUAUACAAGUAAUUGAUGUGUACCUUACCAGUACUCGUAGUAGCUCCUGGGUAUUUGAUACCGGUGCGGUUGCUCAUAUUUGUAACUCAAAUCAGGAACUACGGAAUAAACGGAGACUGGCAAAAGACGAGGUGACGAUGCGCGUCGGGAAUGGUUCCAAGGUCGAUUUGAUCGCCGUCGGCACGCUACCUCUGCAUCUACCCACGGGAUUAGUUAUAAACCUCAAUAAUUGUUAUUUAGUGCCAGCUUUGAGCAUGAACAUUGUAUCUGGAUCUCGUUUAAUUCGAGAUGGCUACUCAUUUAAAUCUGAGAAUAAUGGUUGUUCUAUUUAUUUGAGAGAUAUGUUUUAUGGUCAUGCCCCGCUGGUCAAUGGUUUAUUCUUAAUGAAUCUCGAACGUGAUGCUACACAUAUUCAUAGUGUGAAUACCAAAAGAUGUAAAGUUGAUAAUGAUAGUCCCACAUACUUGUGGCACUGCCGCCUUGGUCACAUUGGUGUCAAGCGCAUGAAGAAGCUCCAUGCAGAUGGACUUUUGGAGUCUCUUGAUUACGAAUCAUUUGACACGUGCGAACCAUGCCUCAUGGGUAAGAUGACCAAGACUCCGUUCUCCGGAACAAUGGAGCGAGCGACCAACUUAUUGGAAAUCAUACAUACCGAUGUGUGCGGUCCAAUGAGCGUUGAGGCUCGCGAAGGAUAUCGUUAUGUUCUCACUCUCACUGAUGAUUUAAGUAGAUAUGGGUAUGUCUACCUAAUGAAACACAAGUCUGAGACCUUUGAAAAGUUCAAGGAAUUUCAGAGUGAAGUCGAGAAUCAACGUGACAGGAAAAUAAAAUUCUUACGAUCAGAUCGUGGUGGAGAAUAUUUAAGUCACGAAUUUGGUACACACUUAAGGAAAUGUGGAAUAGUUUCACAACUCACGCCGCCUGGAACACCUCAGAGAAAUGGUGUGUCCGAACGUCGUAAUCGCACUCUAUUGGAUAUGGUGCGAUCUAUGAUGUCUCUUACCGAUUUACCGCUCUCAUUUUGGGGUUAUGCUUUAGAGACUGCCGCAUUCACUUUAAAUAGGGCACCGUCUAAAUCCGUUGAGACGACACCGUAUGAAUUAUGGUUUGGGAAGAAACCUAAGCUGUCGUUUCUAAAAGUUUGGGGAUGCGAUGCUUAUGUCAAGAAACUUCAACCUGAAAAGCUCGAACCCAAAUCGGAAAAAUGCGUCUUCAUAGGAUACCCUAAGGAAACUAUUGGGUAUACCUUCUACCUCAGAUCCGAAGGCAAGAUCUUCGUUGCCAAGAACGGGUCCUUUCUAGAGAAGGAGUUUCUCUCGAAAGAAUUGAGUGGGAGGAAAGUGGAACUUGAUGAGGUGAUAGUCACCCCUUCCGAACCAGAAAGUAGCGCAGCGCGGGAAAAUGUUCCUGUGGUGCCUACACCGACUAGGGAGGAAGUUAAUGAUGAUGAUCAUGAAGCUUCAGAUCAAGUUACUGAACUUCGUAGGUCCACAAGGACACGUUCCGCACCAGAGUGGUACGGCAACCCUGUCCUGGAAAUCAUGUUGUUAGACAACGGUGAACCUUCGAACUAUGAAGAAGCGAUGGCGGGCCCGGAUUCCGACAAAUGGCUAGAAGCCAUGAAAUCCGAGAUAGAAUCCAUGUAUGAAAACAAAGUAUGGACUUUGACUGACUUGCCCGAUGAGCGGCGAGCCAUAGAAAACAAAUGGAUCUUUAAGAAGAAGACGGACGCAGAUGGUAAUGUGACCAUCUACAAAGCUCGACUUGUCGCUAAGGGUUAUUGACAAGUUCAAGGGGUUGACUACGAUGAGACUUUCUCACCCGUAGCGAAGCUGAAGUCCGUCCGAAUCAUGUUAGCAAUUGCCGCAUACUAUGAUUAUGAGAUAUGGCAGAUGGACGUCAAAACGGCAUUCCUUAACGGCUUCCUUAAGGAAGAGUUGUAUAUGAUGCAGCCGGAAGGUUUUGUCGAUCCUAAGAAUGCUAACAAAGUAUGCAAGCUCCAGCGCUCAAUCUAUGGGCUGGUGCAAGCAUCUCGGAGUUGGAACAUUCGCUUUGAUGAGAUGAUCAAAGCGUUUGGGUUUACACAGACUUAUGGAGAAGCCUGUGUUUACAAGAAAGUGAGUGGGAGCUCUGUAGCAUUUCUCAUAUUAUAUGUGGAUGACAUAUUAUUGAUGGGAAAUGAUAUAGAAUUCUUGGAAAGUAUAAAGGCCUAUUUGAAUAAGUGUUUUUCAAUAAAGGACCUUGGAGAAGCUGCUUAUAUAUUAGGCAUCAAGAUCUAUAGAGAUAGAUCAAGACGCCUCAUUGGUCUUUCACAGAGUACAUACCUUGACAAGAUAUUGAAGAAGUUCAGUAUGGAUCAGUCCAAGAAGGGGUUCUUGCCUGUAUUGCAAGGUGUGCAAUUGAGCACGGCUCAAUGCCCGACCACGGCAGAAGAUAUAGAAGAGAUGAGUGUCAUCCCCUAUGCCUCGGCCAUAGGGUCUAUUAUGUAUGCCAUGCUGUGUACCAGACCUGAUGUAAACCUUGCCGUAAGUUUGGUAGGAAGGUACCAAAGUAAUCCCGGCAAGGAACACUGGACAGCGGUCAAGAAUAUCCUGAAGUACCUGAAAAGGACUAAGGAUAUGUUUCUCGUUUAUGGAGGUGACGAAGAGCUCGUCGUAAAGGGUUACGUCGACGCUAGCUUCGACACAGAUCUGGAUGACUCGAAGUCACAGACCGGAUACGUGUAUAUAUUGAAUAGAGGAGCAGUAAGCUGGUGCAGUUGCAAGCAAAGCGUCGUGGCGGGAUCUACAUGUGAAGCGGAAUACAUGGCAGCCUCGGAGGCAGCACAGGAAGCAGUCUGGAUGAAGGAGUUCAUUACCGACCUAGGGGUGAUUCCCAAUGCGUCGGGCCCAAUGACUCUUUUAUGUGACAACACUGGAGCUAUUGCCCUUGCGAAGGAGCCCAGGUUUCACAGGAAGACCAGACAUAUCAAGCGUCGCUUCAACUCCAUUCGUGAAAGUGUUCAAAAUGGAGACAUAGAUAUUUGUAAAGUGCACACGGACCUGAAUGUAGCAGAUCCGUUGACUAAACCUCUCCCUACGGCAAAACAUGAUCAACACCAGGACGCAAUGGGUGUUCGAUUCAUCACAAUGUAACUAGAUUAUUGACUCUAGUGCAAGUGGGAGACUGUUGGAAAUAUGCCCUAGAGGCAAUAAUAAAUGGUUAUUAUUAUAUUUCUGUGUUCAUGAUAAUAGUCUUUUAUUCAUGCUAUAAUUGUAUUGUCCGGAAAUCGUAAUACAUGUGUGAAUACAUAGACCACAACCUGUCCCUAGUAAGCCUCUAGUUGACUAGCUCGUUGAUCAACAGAUAGUCAUGGUUUCCUGACUAUGGACAUAGUAUGUCAUUGAUAACGGGAUCACAUCAUUAGGAGAAUGAUGUGAUGGACAAGACCCAACUUAAGCAUAGCAUAAAAGAUCGUGUAGUUUCGUUUGCUAGAGCUUUUCCAAUGUCAAGUAUCUUUUCCUUAGACCAUGAGAUCGUGCAACUCCCGGAUACCGUAGGAGUGCUUUGGGUGUGCCAAACGUCACAAUGUAACUGGGUGACUAUAAAGGUGCAUUACGGGUAUCUCCGAAAGUGUCUGUUGGGUUGGCACGGAUCGAGACUGGGAUUUGUCACUCCGUGUAAACGGAGAGGUAUCUCUGGGCCCACUCGGUAAUGCAUCAUCAUAAUGAGCUCAAUGUGACUAAGGCGUUAGUCACGGGAUCAUGCAUUGCGGUACGAGUAAAGAGACUUGCCGGUAACGAGAUUGAACAAGGUAUUGGGAUACCGACGAUCGAAUCUCGGGCAAGUAACAUACCGAUUGACAAAGGGAAUUGCAUACGGAUUGAUUGAAUCCUCGACACCGUGGUUCACCCGAUGAUAUCAUCGUGGAACAUGUGGGAGCCAACAUGGGUAUCCAGAUCCCGCUGUUGGUUAUUGACCGGAGAGGCGUCUCAGUCAUGUCUGCAUGUCUCCCGAACCCGUAGGGUCUACACACUUAAGGUCCGGUGACGCUAGGGUUGUAGAGAUAUAUGUAUGCGGAAACCCGAAAGUUGUUCGGAGUCCCGGAUGAGAUCCCGGACGUCACGAGAGGUUCCGGAAUGGUCCGGAGGUGAAGAAUUAUAUAUAGGAAGUCCAGUUUUGGCCACCGGGAAAGUUUCGGGGGUUAUCGGUAUUGUACCGGGACCACCGGAAGGGUCCCGGGGGUCCACCGGGUGGGGCCACCUGUCCCGGAGGGCCCCGUGGGCUGAAAGUGGAGGGGAACCAGCCCCUAAUGGGCUGGGGCGCCACUUUGGGCCUCCCCCCCAUGCGCCUAGGGUUGGGAACCCUAGGGGGGGGAGUUUCCCCUUGCCUUGGGGGGCAAGGCAACCCCUUCCCCCUUGGCCGCCGCCCCCCCCUUGGAGAUCCCAUCUCCAAGGGCUGCGCACCCCCCCUUGGGGGCCUAUAUAAAGGGGGGGGGAGGGAGGGCAGCAUACUACAGCCUUUGGCGCCUCCCUCCUCCCCUGCAACACCUCUCUCUCGCGCGCAGAAGCUCGGCGAAGCCUUGCCGGAGAGCCGCUACAUCCACCACCACGCCGUCGUGCUGUUGGAUCUCCAUCAACCUCUCCUCCCCCCUUGCUGGAUCAAGAAAGGAGGAGACGUCGCUGCACCGUACGUGUGUUGAACGCGGAGGUGCCGUCCGUUCGGCACUCGGUCAUCGGUGAUUUGGAUCACGGCGAGUACGACUCCGUCAUCCACGUUCAUUGGAACGCUUCCGCUCGCGAUCUACAAGGGUAUGUAGAUCCACUCCUUUCCCCUCGUUGCUAGUAGACUCCAUAGAUGCAUCUUGGUGAGCGUAGGAAAAUUUUAAAUUAUGCUACGAUUCCCAACAGUGGCAUCAUGAGCCAGGUCUAUGCGUAGUUACUAUGCACGAGUAGAACACAAAGCAGUUGUGGGCGUUGAGUUUGCAAAUUCUUCUUGCCGCUACUAGUCUUUUCUUGUUUCGGCGGCAUUGUAGGAUGAAGCGGCCCGGACCGACCUUACACGUACUCUUACGUGAGACAGGUUCCACCGACUGACAUGCACAAGUUGCAUAAGGUGGCUAGCGGGUGUCUGUCUCUCCUACUUUAGUCGGAACGGAUUCGAUGAAAAGGGUCCUUAUGAAGGGUAAAUAGAAAUUGGCAAAUCACGUUGUGGUCAUACGUAGGUAAGAAACGUUCUUGCUAGAAACCUACAAACCACGUAAAAACUUGCAACAACAAUUAGAGGACGUCUAACUUGUUUUUGCAGCAAGUGCUAUGUGAUGUGAUAUGGCCAGAAGAUGUGAUGAAUGAUAUAUGUGAUGUAUGAGAUUGAUCAUAUUCUUGUAAUAGGAAUCACGACUUGCAUGUCGAUGAGUAUGACAACCGGCAGGAGCCAUAGGAGUUGUCUUUAUUAUUUUGUAUGACCUGCGUGUCAUUGAAUAACGCCAUGUAAUUUACUUCACUUUGUUGCUAAACGCGUUAGCCAUAGAAGUAGAAGUAAUCGUUGGCGUGACGACUUCAUGAAGACACAAUGAUGGAGAUCAUGAUGAUGGAGAUCAUGGUGUCAUGCCGGUGACGAAGAUGAUCAUGGUGCCCCGAAGAUGGAGAUCAAAGGAGCAUGAUGAUAUUGGCCAUAUCAUGUCACUAUUUGAUUGCAUGUGAUGUUUAUCAUGUUUUUGCAUCUUAUUUGCUUAGAACGACGGUAGUAAGUAAGAUGAUCCCUUAUAAUAAUUUCAAGAAAGUGUUCACCCUAACUGUGCACCGUUGCGAAGGUUCGUUGUUUCGAAGCACCACGUGAUGAUCGGGUGUGAUAGAUUCUAACGUUCGAAUACAACGGGUGUUGACGAGCCUAGCAUGUACAGACAUGGCCUCGGAACACACGCAAUACACUUAGGUUGACUUGACGAGCCUAGCAUGUACAGACAUGGCCUCGGAACACGGAGGACCGAAAUGUUGGAAAUAUGCCCUAGAGGCAAUAAUAAAUGGUUAUUAUUAUAUUUCUGUGUUCAUGAUAAUAGUCUUUUAUUCAUGCUAUAAUUGUAUUGUCCGGAAAUCGUAAUACAUGUGUGAAUACAUAGACCACAACCUGUCCCUAGUAAGCCUCUAGUUGACUAGCUCGUUGAUCAACAGAUAGUCAUGGUUUCCUGACUAUGGACAUAGGAUGUCAUUGAUAACGGGAUCACAUCAUUAGGAGAAUGAUGUGAUGGACAAGACCCAAUCCUAAGCAUAGCAUAAAAGAUCGUGUAGUUUCGUUUGCUAGAGCUUUUCCAAUGUCAAGUAUCUUUUCCUUGGACCAUGAGAUCGUGCAACUCCCGGAUACCGUAGGAGUGCUUUGGGUGUGCCAAACGUCACAACGUAACUGGGUGACUAUAAAGGUGCAUUACGGGUAUCUCCGAAAGUGUCUGUUGGGUUGGCACGGAUCGAGACUGGGAUUUGUCACUCCGUGUAAACGGAGAGGUAUCUCUGGGCCCACUCGGUAAUGCAUCAUCAUAAUGAGCUCAAUGUGACUAAGGCGUUAGUCACGGGAUCAUGCAUUGCGGUACGAGUAAAGAGACUUGCCGGUAACGAGGUUGAACAAGGUAUUGGGAUACCGACGAUCGAAUCUCGGGCAAGUAACAUACCGAUUGACAAAGGGAAUUGCAUACGGAUUGAUUGAAUCCUCGACACCGUGGUUCACCCGAUGAUAUCAUCGUGGAACAUGUGGGAGCCAACAUGGGUAUCCAGAUCCCGCUGUUGGUUAUUGACCGGAGAGGCGUCUCGGUCAUGUCUGCAUGUCUCCCGAACCCGUAGGGUCUACACACUUAAGGUCCGGUGACGCUAGGGUUGUAGAGAUAUAUGUAUGCGGAAACCCGAAAGUUGUUCGGAGUCCCGGAUGAGAUCCCGGACGUCACGAGAGGUUCCGGAAUGGUCCGGAGGUGAAGAAUUAUAUAUAGGAAGUCCAGUUUUGGCCACCGGGAAAGUUUCGGGGGUUAUCGGUAUUGUACGGGGACCACCGGAAGGGUCCCGGGGGUCCACCGGGUGGGGCCACCUGUCCCGGAGGGCCCCGUGGGCUGAAAGUGGAGGGGAACCAUCCCCUAAUGGGCUGGGGCGCCACUUUGGGCCUCCCCCCCAUGCGCCUAGGGUUGGGAACCCUAGGGGGGGAGUUUCCCCUUGCCUUGGGGGGCAAGGCAACCCCUUCCCCCUUGGCCGCCGCCCCCCCCUUGGAGAUCCCAUCUCCAAGGGCUGCGCACCCCCCUUGGGGGCCUAUAUAAAGGGGGGGGGAGGGAGGGCAGCAUACUACAGCCUUUGGCGCCUCCCUCCUCCCCUGCAACACCUCUCUCUCGCGCGCAGAAGCUCGGCGAAGCCUUGCCGGAGAGCCGCUACAUCCACCACCACGCCGUCGUGCUGUUGGAUCUCCAUCAACCUCUCCUCCCCCCUUGCUGGAUCAAGAAAGGAGGAGACGUCGCUGCACCGUACGUGUGUUGAACGCGGAGGUGCCGUACGUUCGGCACUCGGUCAUCGGUGAUUUGGAUCACUGCGAGUACGACUCCGUCAUCCACGUUCAUUGGAACGCUUCCGCUCGCGAUCUACAAGGGUAUGUAGAUCCACUCCUUUCCCCUCGUUGCUAGUAGACUCCAUAGAUGCAUCUUGGUGAGCGUAGGAAAAUUUUAAAUUAUGCUACGAUUCCCAACAUCCGCUAUCACCCAACCCGACACCCGACGCUAAUUGGGUAGGUGGGGUGUUGAUGUUCAUACCUUGCUGAGGCUGCGUGCUCGUGGGUGUGCUCCCGGCCGCCUCCAGACGAAGCAGACUCUUUGGCCACAACAGGACCCACCCAUUGCAACAAUCACCAAGCCGCCACGGGGUCUCGUCGUCAUCCCCCACUAGUAUCAGAGGAGGCAAAUUCUCGUGGCCCGGUUUGACACUGGCCACGGAAACCUUGAAGACGUUCAGGGGGAUCGGCCGGCUCUGGAACAAUGGUUCCUUCGGCUCCAUUAUCGUCGCCUUCCCCACGUCCACCUUCUUGUCGCUGAUGGUGUACAAUAUGGUGCACGGGGUUUCGUCAGCCUGCAAAGAAAAUUCUGCGACGUGAGACAUCCGAAAGGCAAUGAAAACGGGAGAUUAUACAUUUAUUGAAGGGGGCCGGUGUGACAGAUACCGUGAGGGCGUCGAGCUCCGCCAAAGACGAAGCACCGCCGAGCACGUCCGGUGCCGGAGCCAGUGCGGGAGCAGGUGCUGGUGCAACGCUAGUCGAGCUGCUCCCCAAGAAGUCAGCAAGGGGAAAGUCCUCUGCAUUUUUUUUCUGGAUUUUGCCUGGUCCAAGUGAAAAUGGACGGAACCAAGGAAGUAGAUAUAUCUGCAACCACCCGUUUUGCGGCAGCUACCGCUCUUGCGACUGUCUGAGAUGAUUUCUUCUCAACGGCAAUCUCAACCUUCUUGUCGAUGUUUUCUUCAGUUAACCUCUGUCUUUCCUUUCUCUCCUCUGUGGUCUCACGGUAGCACUUCUUCCACGUGCCGCCGUCUCCGACACCGUGCACGCGUCCAUACGACGGUCGAGUAUCCACCGGGAGUCGUUUCAAUAUGUUCAAUGCCCGGUUAAAUGGAGUGCCCCACUUGGGCCUCGCCAAUGCCUCAGACGGCGAGUCGCUUUCGGCCGCAAUCUUGUGCUGCUCUCUCUGCAAAAGGCACAAGGAUCGUUUACAAAUAUGACUAACAUGUGCAGUCGAAUUGAUCAGAAACUAAAAUUACCAGCAGUCUCAUGAACUCCGUCGUGACCGGGUUUGUCUCGUAAACCUUCUUCACUUGGUCCCAACGGUGCCGGGCACUGAGGACAUCACGCUCCUGCGGGACGGUGAACUCCGCCAAGGGGUCUGGGAUGCCCAGACUCGCGGCUUCCGCGUCCUCCAGGCCCAUUUGGACCUCUUCCGCCGUAACCACGGCUUCCGAGGUGGUGGCUACCAAUGUUCCUCUCUUGAAGCCCCUUCAUGUACUUAGACUUUUUUUUGGCAGCUUCGGCCUCGCAAGCCUCCUUGAAUAUUUGAAACUGCUCUUCUGUGAUUGUCAGGUUAUCCUUUACAAUCUCGGAGUAGGGUUCCUUCUUGUCGAUGAUCCUUGCUUUCACUCGAUUUUUCCAGGCGGCCAACGCGUCGCUAAACUUGGUCAUGGCGUGUUUGUUUAUCUUCUUCAUUGCCGGGUCCUCAUCUGGAUCUUCAUAAUCCUUCUCAUUCUGGCCCGGGAACAAGAAUAUCUAGUGAAACUUCUUUAGGAGGGAGGGCCUCAUAUUAUCUUAUCUUCUAUAGUUUCCCACCGUUGAUGGUGGCGGUUGUCCGUACGCUGCAGCCUAUUUGAUUGCCGUAGCACGAGCGCGCUUCCUCGGGCGCCUUUGGCUCAAAAUUGCCAUCGUCCACCUCCGUGACCACCAGUCUAGUAGUCCUAAGUUUGUUAGGAAGUCAUUGCCUCUUUGCUUUCGGUUCUACACCGGCUCCGCUCCCCGAGGCAGCGCCAGUCUCAGUCUCACGUCGGUCUCGAUGUCGGUCUGAGUCUUAGCGCCGGUCUCAGUCUCAGCACCGGUCUGCGUGUCGGUCUCAGUCCCCCAUGCCACUGGUGGGCCCAGCAACAACAUCGGUUGAUCGUCGGCAAGGCUCAAAAAUUCAUCUGCCGCCCGGUAGACGUCGUCGCAAUCACCAGAACCCUGUCCUUCAUCAUUGCUAGCCAUGUUUCCUAUGAUUAAAUCUAUUCAAUUAAUUCUAGACCUAAUAAAAUGAAUAAUGACAUAAAAAAGGCCUAUUGUUUUGCAGGAACAUUGACUCCUUCCUUGUGCGGCAAAUCCCGGGCACUCGGUAUGUCCUAGUUUGUAGCACAAGUCAUGCCGAAAUUCACGGAAAAUUUCGGCAUGACCUUUGCUAAAAAGUGGACAAAUCGAGAACCUGGAAUUUGCCGGAACGGAAAUGAAUCAACAUUCUGGCAAAACAUAGGCCACUCAGCUUCAUUCCCUGGAAACAGUGUUCAAAUAUCCCUCUUCGACACCGCAACACAUGUCCAAAUAUACACGAGUAACCACAUUUUGAAAUUUCACAAGCUAAUUCAAAAACAGAGUGUAGAAGAAAAUUCAUUUAACUACUAAUAGAACAAAAUUCAGUUAACUUUAGUGCUCUAUAAUGAUGAAAGGAAAAAAAUUAGUUAACUACUAAUUUCAUUCAUUUAGGUUAUUCAUUUAACUUCACCUCAUUAACAUACUGUACCACUACUACUAGCAGCACUACUAACCUAAUUAACCUAGCAAAACUCUACUGCCCUAACUGAAAAACAUCUAAUUAAUAUCUGCUAGUACCACUACUGCCCUAACCUAAUUAACAUCUACUGGUAUCACUAUAUACUACAAGCAGCAUAUACCCUAAUUAAACCCUACUGUCGUAACUAACUUUUGCUGUAAACCAAAUUUUUUGCUCUAACAUCUACUACUUAACAUCCUUUGCUCUAAACUAAAUUUUUUGCUAUAAACUAANNNNNNNNNNNNNNNNNNNNNNNNNNNNNNNNNNNNNNNNNNNNNNNNNNNNNNNNNNNNNNNNNNNNNNNNNNNNNNNNNNNNNNNNNNNNNNNNNNNNNNNNNNNNNNNNNNNNNNNNNNNNNNNNNNNNNNNNNNNNNNNNNNNNNNNNNNNNNNNNNNNNNNNNNNNNNNNNNNNNNNNNNNNNNNNNNNNNNNNNNNNNNNNNNNNNNNNNNNNNNNNNNNNNNNNNNNNNNNNNNNNNNNNNNNNNNNNNNNNNNNNNNNNNNNNNNNNNNNNNNNNNNNNNNNNNNNNNNNNNNNNNNNNNNNNNNNNNNNNNNNNNNNNNNNNNNNNNNNNNNNNNNNNNNNNNNNNNNNNNNNNNNNNNNNNNNNNNNNNNNNNNNNNNNNNNNNNNNNNNNNNNNNNNNNNNNNNNNNNNNNNNNNNNNNNNNNNNNNNNNNCUCUAAAAUGCAGAGAGAGAGGAGUGGGGGGGAGGGGUGGGGGACUUACAGAGAGGGGAAACGGUGGCGGGGAGGUGCUCGGCGACGGAGGCAGGGGCGGAGAGGGCGGGCUCGGGCACGGGCAACGGCGGUCCUAGGCGGGCUCGGGCGGCGGUGAGGUGGGGGCGGCGACGGUGAGGUCAAGGGCGGCCUCGGGCGGCGGCGGUGAGACUGAGGGCGGCCUCGGGCGGCGGCGGUGAGGAUGACGGCGGCCUCGGGGGGAGACGGUGAGGUUGCGGGCGUCCACGCCGGCAGGAAACGGCGGCGAAGUGGGGCGACGGCGAAUUGGAGAGACGGCGCCGUGGGCGAGGGAUUUGGGGAAGAAGUGGUGGCCGGGGGGAGGGAAACCGCUGUUUAAGUGGAACGUAGCGGUAGCGCAUUCUUGAAAACGCGCUAUAGCUAAGUUAGCUACAACGCGUUUCCUCAAACACGCUACUGCUAUUCCUUUCUCCUUUUUCCCCUUUUUUCAUUUAUUUUUCUUUACAUUUUAUUUUUUUCCUUUCUCCUUUUUCUAUUUCAUUCAUUUUCAUUUACUUUUCUACUUGUUUUUCAUUUUAUUUUAUUUUGGUUAGCAGUAGCGCCUUACACAUAAACGCGUUGCUACAACAAAAUUAGCGGCAGCGCUGUUUCUGAAAGUGCGCUACUACUAUGUGUAGCCGAUCGGCUUAGUGGUGGGAAUUUUUGUAGUAGCGCUGUUACAGCGGGACGCGCUACUGCUAUAUAUGUAUCUGCGGCGCGGUUAUUCCACGCGCGCUACUGUUGUCUAGCAGUAGCGCCCUUUUUUAACAUACGCUACUGCUAAAGUUCUGUGUAUAGGAUUUUCCCUAGAAGUGUGUGUCCACGACAGAAGUGGCUGAGGCGACAGUUCAUAAUGAUAUGCCAUCUACAGGUGAGAGUCUUGCACAACAGCUCCAGCUCCUGGUGGUGCAGAGGUUGCUAAGGCGACUGUUUCACGAGUUGGUCUUCCACCUAGGAGUCGUAGCCCCCGCAAGCAAUCAACAGACAUACCCAACGCACCGGCUAUAGCUAGGAGCAGUAGAGAUGAGUCUGGUUAUGUUCCUGUGUCCACACUGUUCCCACCACCUGCCAAAAGCAAUGUUAUGGAGAAACCGGAAGACCGGAGUACAACUGAUGCAGGUGUCAAGCCGGGCACGAGUGAUGGAGGUAAACGUCCGGAGCAAACUGCGUGUUUACCCGCAGUGGAGAACCCCAGCCUAAAUCUGCGCACUUCCAAGCUCCCAGUCAAUGCUGGUGUCCCCUACAGCCCAAACAAGAAGAUUGUCAAGAAAGCUGCGGCUGAUACCGCUGACAACACGCCCCGCCCUACGAAUAAGCCCGAUGAUUCUGUAGCGGCCGAUUCAGAUAUGUUUGUUGAUCUCUCACCCUUGGAUUCUGUCCCGCAAGUUGUUUGCGGUCCGGCCAGUAGGCAUGAGAGGCACCCAAUGGCCUUCACCCCACCGAGCUUUAGCCUUGGCAUCAGUCAAGAUCAACCAGUGGUGCAAGAUCCUACGCCAGUUGCCUUUGCUUUCCCGGGAGGCAAGGCCGCAAUGAUGGCACAACCAAUGGUCGAGGGCAGGAAGGCUAUCAAGUUCGCAGAGCCGAUCGUCCAAGGUACAUUUCUUCUGCGCUUAUCAUUUUCUUGUAUACAUCUGUGUAGUCUGACUUUUGUCCCAAGCAAUUUUUCUGGGGUUCUCACCUGUGAUGGCAACUGUUAUGUGAUGACAUGGCAACUGGAUUUGCUGCACCAUGUCACCUACAUUUUUGUUGCCAUGCUGUAUUUUCCAUUCGGCAACCACAUGGCAACUGAAGUUGAUACAACAUGGCAAUUGUACUUGUUCUCACAUGGCAACUACAAUGCACUACACAUGGCAACUGGAUUUGCUGCAGCAUGUCACCUGCAUUUUUGUUUCCAUGCUGCAUUUUUGAUUCGGCAACCACAUGGCAACUGGAGUUGACACAACAUGGAAACUGCAGUUGCUUUCACAUGGGAAUUAUAGUGCAAUACACAUGGCAACUGGAUUUGCCUCCACAUGGCAACUCCCUACUUUUUGUACCUACAUUUCAUAUCAUGCACCUUUUUAUUUUCACACUACAUUUGUUUUGUUUUCCAGGUAUCCUAACCCACUUUUUGAUCCUUGCAGGCACCCCUGAGGAGAUUUUGCCAUCACUUGAUGAAGUUUACCGCAGGAUUGAGGAGGCAACAUUGCAGAGGAGGUCCUCACGAGGUCAGGGCAAUCAAGUUCCAACGUGCCUGCUGAGACGGUAUCUGAGGAUACCAUUAGAAGUGCCACCCCUAGUUCUGUGAGGCAGCAGAGGGUAGUUCACCCACCUCCCGCGGAUGACUAGAAGCCCGAAGUCAAGGCCACAAAGGAGCAGAACCAGCUGUACGAUAUUGUCAAGCGAUAUGGAAAUGCGAGGGCCAGCAGCAAGCACAUGAAGGAGCUGAAAGCGUAAUGACCACACCACAUAACCUCUCAUUUUUCUUUGCUCUUUUUACCAUUCAUCUUUUUUCUACUUUCUAGAUAUGAUCCGUUUAUGUUUUAUCUCUUCUUUUUUUACUUAGUAGACAUGAUUCUUUCAUGUUAUAUCAUUUUCAUACAGCUCAUGUUUGGACAGAACCAAGGUCAUACAAUGCGAAGCGACGUACGUCGACCUGGGUGAUCCUGCCGAGUCCGUGAGGCCACUCAGUAAAAUGUCGACGAAUGUAGUUGCAUGUGGGAUUGACUUCAUCAACAAGUAUAUGGAUAUGUCUCAUGGCAAAACAAUCAUGCAUUACAGUGUGACCUGCAAAAUAUGGGAUGGUGACUUCCACCACAAAAUCCCGAGGAAGCAUUUUGCUGCGCACGGUGAAUUCAAGCUCACAAUGAAGAAAUGUGUGAGUACUCCUUCCCUUUUUGCACAUUUUUUCCUCCCAUGGUAUGUUUUUUGCCAGUAGCUACACCCUGUUUAUGUGGCAGCUGUUUCAUGUGGCAACAGCUGCCAUGUAAACUGACUUUUGAUUUGCAUCCCCGUACAAACUAUGUGGCAACUUCAAAGUAAAAUACAGGGCAACUUUGUUCAUACAUGGAUGGCAACUUCCUAUAAGUACCCACUAUAACUAAACAUUUCUAUGUGAUUCUACUUUUUGGCCCCUUGCAGCUUUAUGUCACUCAUGUGCCUCUUACCGCAACGGUGAUAUCCUUACACGUCAUUUUCCCAAUUACACCAUUUUAUGUUCUUCAUGUGAACUCUGCUUCUUCUUUCCUUCAUUUUACUUGCAGGUCCUGUUCCCCAUGUUCCAGGAGCUUGCACCACAUGACCCGCACGACAAGUGUGGUCACCACUACGCGGUCUGCCUUGACCUGAAGAACCAACAUUUUGAGGUGCUUGAUUCAAUGAGUUCGGCAGCUGAUGCAGACCUUACUACGCAUGCUGAAUACUUCAUCAACAACCUCAAAGAGACAUGGAACCGUCACUACGAACACUCAAAGGUCCAGAUCAGACAUUUUCCAAUUGAGUACUUGGCGACUAUGAAGCAAGGGAACAAGUAAUUUCCCAUCUCUUUCUUCAUCUGCCCUCUACACCAAUGCUAACCCUCUUUGUUACAUUUGAAUUGAAGUUUAUCAUUGUUAUCUCUGUCCUUUGCGAGUUCACCUGAUUCUUUUCUUGUAUAGGACGGACUGUGGCUUUCACACGUUGGAAUACCUUGCAAAGUGGGAAGGUAGACUGGUUCCUGUUGUCACAGCUGCAAUGGUCGUUGAGCUUCGGAAAACUUACACAUGGAACUGGUUGACGAAUGAAGAUUUCAACAAGCGGUCCAGAGCACGUGAGUUCGUAGAGGAAGCUGUCAACAAAGUCACCAAGAAGUACAAGUGAUCACGUGGUGCUCUAUACCGAACGCCUACCUUACAUUCUGUUGUCGAGGAAUGUAAGGUACUACCUUUGUUCUUUUCAAAACUAUGUCCGUGUGCUAUGUUAUGACUGCAACCCUGCGUAGCCUAGUAUGUAGUGGUGGUGUGUGGGUGACAUUUGAAUAUUUUUUGUAAAUAUAUGUGUGGAUGUGAACCUAUUUAGGCGUGACAGCAGAUAUGUUUAUGUUUAUCAUUAUUAUUAUGCUUUCAUCGUUGGUAGCACCAGUUUGGUGUUUUGAAUGCGUCCACGAUGUUUUAAAACAUUGCAAAUGUAGUUCAUCAGACAUGGUUAGUGAAAAUUAUCGUCGUUUUUCAUUUGUCUGUUUGGUUCUUUUUUUUCAUCGCUAACUGUACCGGCUAGCAUGGUAGUUUGAUCAUGUAGCCGUAACCUUUUUGCGGUUGCUGCACGUGACGCUUUUCAACUUGUUUCCCAUAGAUUGCACACAACACACUAUGUGUGACUAACAUGCGUUGAAUGAACACGGAGAUAUACGCGAUGCAUAGUCAUUACAAAUAACAUGGCAUAUUUCAGCAGAACUAACAUGGCAGAUUCAGUAUAAACAACACGGCAGAUUCAAUAUAAAUAACAUGGCAGAUCCAGUAUACUUAACAUGGCAGAUCCAGUAUACAUAACAUGGCAGAUCCAGUACACAGAACAUGGCAGGUUCAGUAUAAAAUAUCAUGGUAGAUUUAGUAUAAAAUAGCAUGGCAGAUUCACUAUAAAAUAGCAUGGCAGAUUAACUAUACAUAACAUGGCAGAUUAAGUAUACAUAACAUGGCAAAUUAAGUACCAUACACGUGGCAACUGCAGUUAUCCAUUCAUGGCAUUUUCCUUCAACUUCUGAUGCCCCUCAAGAGUCAUUCUCCCAUUUUUUAAAAAUUUAGAACAUCUAGAUUAUAAAAUAAAAUUUCACCAAGGACCAUGUCACACUGCUCCAAUGUUGCUUACGGAUUGCUUGUCCCUUUCUUUGUUUUCUUGUGUUUUGCUUGAAUCUCCAAUCCCGAUUUGUAUCUUAUCUCUUUUGGACGCCCCUUUGUGAUGGAACGGGGCGGGUUCCCGACCUGGGUUUGUGUGCUUGCUGUUCCAGAUCCUAUCUCCGAGUUUUCAGAUGAUGGCCCUGUGGAUGAAGGCACACUUGAUGUGCGGGGGAACCUGUGUAAGGCUUCCUCAGCUUUCCUCUUCUUGAUCUCAUCAAGCUCUCUUUUCAGGGCCUUCCUGUGUUUUUCUACGACCCUCGCUGUCUCAUCACUCUUGCACUCUUCAUCAAUUAGUUCAGCAUAGUUCUUUGUCAGCACAACGUGCCUCACAGCUUCCAUAGUUGACUCAGGUCUCUCGUCAUGCACAGCCAAAACUGCGUUUGUUGUCUGUGGCGCCAAUGCGCCGUCAGCGUCCCAAGUCCAUCACCGCCUUAUGAAAUGGCGGGGCAUACGUGUCACCGCGUUCAUGUCCAUUACUUUUAGUAUGUGACAGCACACAAUGUCGUCCCGUUCGAAUUUGCAGCAUUGGCAGUAGUAUUCGCCUUGGCCUGUUGAGGCUUUCACGAAGUAGUUCCUUCCUUUGUCCCGGUCUUCACGUUCUGAAUCUGACAUGCCCAAAAUAGAACAUUGAACGUAUGUUCAUCCACCUGGAAAGCCGUGAACAUGCUGGCACGCUUUAUUUCUUCCUGGAAUCUGCAAGUUUUGUGUGUUUUUUGUUGAACUAUUGUGUGCUGUUUUUGUAGCACCUUAUGUUGUCGUGGCAAAUAGAAGUACAUUUCGUUUGAACAUGGCAAAUAUAGUACAUUAAACAUGGCAACUAUAGUACAUUAAACAUGGCAACUGCAGUACAUUAAACAUGGCAAUUGCAGUUCAGUAAACAUGGCAACUGCAGUUCAUUAAACAUGGCAACUGCAGUUCAUUAAACAUGGCAACUGCAUAACAUUUUCAAUUGGCAUUGGCACACCCUUCACUGGCUAGCUCUAGCUUUGCAAGCGCGAAGAAAUGUAUGCGUGCCCCAUCCAUCCAUGCGCAUGAAUAAGUUUUUAGUAAUUGAUGAAUAAAUCCUGGCAUGUCGAGCAUCAGCAUGGCAUGGAUUUGUGUAACUUUUCGUUUCGUCUACCUUUUUUUGAGAGAGAAUCGUUUCAUCUACUUAUGUCUAUGUUGUUUGUGCUUUGGACUAGUUCCUGUUUGAAAGAGUACUAGGUUUGUAUCUGAGUACUCAUUAUCCACAAAAUUAUAGAAUGGCAUGCGCUACCUAGUCCUUCCACGUGGCAGUCCAUUUGGUAUCCUCUUUGAAACAACUUUGUUGCUGUACGAACCAUGUAUGCGUUCAUGUUCCAUUUGAUUCUUCCAAACAUGCAGACCACCAUAUAUACAUGGAUGACAGUCAGUUCCAAAUUUUUCAUCAUCAUCAUCAUCAUCAGUGAGUUUUAGUUGCCUGCAGUAUUUUAUCACUGAAACCAUUUAGAUUGAAUAUCAGUUUUUACUGUUAGUCUCAUGCGACCGGAUCUUCAUCGCUACGAAGUUGCUAGUGGUGAACGAUCUCGUUUUAGACACUUAGUCACCUGGUGAUAAAACUGUGAGAUUGUAUCGAAGCGUCUCAAUGCCCAUACACAGGCACCCGCAUGGUAUAUAUUGAUAUUGUGGUUUGUGGUACAAGAAAGGGUUGUUGGGAUCAACCGCAUGAGAGAAUACAUGAGGUUUAAGAUAGAGAUAACAAGAAUAAGAAAGAGAUCACAACUAUCUCUAGUUACAACUGAACCUGCGUAUAGCCUCCUGUACCUAUACGUUUAACACCCUCCCAUAAUCAUAACUUGACCAAGUUAAGAUUACGCUUGAAUUCUUCAAAUGGCCUUGUUGGUAGUGCUUUUGUAAAACCAUAUGCAACUUGAUCCUUUGAAUGCACAAACCGUAUCUCUAAUUAUUUGCUUGCAACUCUUUCCCUAACAAAAUGAUAGUCAAUCUCAAUGUGUUUAGUCUGUGCAUGAAAAACAGGAUUAACUGAAAGAUAUGUUGCACCAAGGUUGUCACACCAAAGACAUGGAGUUGGAGAACAAUAUAUCCCAAGUUCCUUAAGCAUGGACUUAACCUAUAUAACUUUUGCCGUUGCAUUUGCCAAUGCUUUAUACUCUGCUUCAGUACUUGACCUGGACACUGUAGCUUGUUUUCUUGCACACCAUGAAAUUACAUUUGGUCCAUGGAAUAUGGCAGACCCUCAUGUAGACCCUCUAUCAUCCACACAGCCAUCCCAAUGAGAGUCAGAGAAAGCACUAACCAAUGUGGAUGAUGAUUUACUAAAAGUCAAGCCAAGCCCUAAGUGCCCUUUACAUAUCUCAGUAUGCGCUUGGCAGUUGUCCAAUGUGAUGUUGUAGGUGCAUGAAGGAAUUGAUGAACUUUGUUUACAGCAAAGCAAAUAUCAGGCCGAGUCAAAGUCAAAUAUUGAAGUGCACCAACUAAACUUCUGUACCUGGUGCCAUCCUCUUGAUCCAGGAGUGCUCCUUAUGCAAGAGACAAUUUUUCUGUGCUAGGUAAUGGAGUAGAUGAUGAUUUACAUCCAUGCAAGCCAGCUCUAUUUAAAAGAUCCGUUGCAUAUUUUUCUUGAGACAGAUGAAGACCACCUUCCCUGUUUCUCUGAACUUCUAUGCCGAGAAAGAAAUGCAAAUCUCCCAAGUCCUUAAGAGCAAACUCUGAGUUCAAAUCCUUCAACAAGUCUGGCACUGCUUCAUUUGAUGAACUUGUAACAAUGAUAUCAUCAACAUAAAUAAGCACAAAAACAGAUGUCUUUGACUUAUUAUAAAUAAACAGAGAUGUGUCAAAUUUCGAAGGAGCAAAACCAAGUGCUUGUAGCUUUGAACCCAACCGAGAGUACCAUGCCCUAGGGGCCAGUUUCACCCCAUAAAGAGACUUAUCCAGCCUGCAUAUUUGAAAGGGUUUGUUUUUAUCCUCAAAACUAGGGGGUUGCUUCAUGUAAACUUCCUCUUCCAGAACACCAUGAAGAAACACAUUCUGCACAUCUAGCUGUCCGAGACACCAUCCUUCGGAUACGGCAAUGGACAAAACAAGGCCUAUAGUAGCAGCUUUAACAACAGGACUGAAUGUAUCUUCAUAGUCUAUGCCAUACCUCUGUUUGAAUCCCUUUGCAACAAGUCUAGCCUUAUACCUGCCUAUAGUACCAUCUGACUUUUUCUUUAUUCUGAAUACCCAUUUGCAAUCAAUCAAAUUUUUACCUUGUUGUGAAGGAACUAGAUGCCAGGUUUUAUUUUCCUGAAGUGCUUGAAACUCUUCUUCCAUAGCUUUUCUCCACCUUGCAUCCUUGCAUGCUUCGUGGAACGAACUAGGUUCUCCUGUGGAGCAGGUUAAGCCAAACUUUACUUUAUAAUUGACAGGUUGGAUUACACCAGCUCGUAACCUUGUACGUGGCGGAGUUAUAACUUGCUGCACCACUGCACCCGAAAUUCGCGCAGAAGAUCCUGAAGACUAGUCCGCUAUAGGAGUUCCUGGCAAUCCCGGAGCAGAUUCGCUGCUGGUGGCAGCUGCGGGAUCCUCUGCGGCCGAGCCAGGGCAUGACGUGGAGGCGCGCGGCACAGAAGAUCCGGGUACUGCAGUUGCUGAGCCCGACCCGUGCGCCUCCGUAUCCACCUGUGGAUCCGUGCCUGCACGGGACUAGUGGAUGGCGCGCCUGGCAUAGACACGCCGGGUCGCACUGAACCGGUCUGCUGAUCUGUCCUCACAAGGCGACAUCGUGCGCGUGUGGACAGGCGGGUCCACGCCCUGACGCGUGUCAGGCGCAGAUGGGUGGAGCGUCGUUCCCGUGCUGACGCCACCAUCCGUGCACGCCUGCUGCCGCGGCAUCGAUCCCGGAGCGGAUGUUGGCGGGUCUGCGGCCGCCGAUCCCGAGGAAGAUCGGGGUGCAGGGUUGGCAUGUAGCGGCCACAUGAAAUUUAGGCUGUUUGGACUAUUUUCUUCACCGUUUUGCCUCAAAAAAAUUUCCUGCUGCAUCCUGAGUCAACCCUGCAUCAUCACAAUCAUCAUUUUCAUGGUUAGAAGCAUUAGUCAUACGAUCAGUACAAUUGUCAUCCCCAUGCUGAAAAUCAAAUGAGAGGGUAAAAGAAGGAUUUCUUUUCGGAGCAAGGCACCAGCAUUAGGGUGUAAAUGAGCAAAAGGGAAGACAGUUUCAUCAAAAACAACAUCAUGUGAGAUGUAUACUCGACCAGUGGGAACAUCUAAGCAUUUAACGCCCUUGUGCUUUGCACUAUAGCCGAGAAAAACACAUUGUUUGGAGCGGAACAUGAGUUUGCGGUUGUUGUAGGGACGCAGGUUAGGCCAACAAGCACAACCGAACACACGAAGAGAGUGAUAAUCUGGUCGAGUAUGAAGGAGCCUAUGCAUGGGUGUAUCAUUGUUGAUGACUCGACUUGGAAGCAUGUUAAUGAGAUGGACUGCCGUAAGGAAGGCCUCAUCCCAAAACUUGAGAGGCAUGGAAGCGCCAGCAAGUAGGGCUAGACCUACUUCAACAACAUGUCGAUGUUUGUGCUCAGCUGAGCCAUUCUGUUGAUGUGCAUGGGGACAUGAUACAUGAUGAGAAAUACCCAAGGUUUGAAAAAACAAAUCUAGUUUCUCAUACUCACCGCCCCAAUCAGAUUGGACGGCCAGAAUUUUUGUAUCAAAUUGGCGUUCAACAAGUGCUUGAAAUUUUUGAAAAACUUGGAAAACGUCAGAACGUUUUUUAAGAAGAUAAAUCCAAGUAUACUUACUAAAAUUAUCUAUGAAGCUAACAUAGUAAGUAUGACGUCCAACAGACAUAGGGGCAGGACCCCAAACAUCAGAAAAUACAAGUUGCAAUGGUCUCGUAGAAACACUAGUAGAAAUUGGAUAUGGUAGCUGAUGAGAUUUUGCUUUCCGACAAGAAUCACAUAUAGUUUCAAGACUAAGCUCACCAACACAUGGGAGCUGAUUAUUUCUAAGCACUUGUUGAACGAUAACAAAAGAUGGAUGUCCUAAUCUUGCAUGCCACCGCUCCGAGGAGAGUUUGAUGACACCAAAAACUUGUUUGUUGAAGCUUGUGAAUUGGGGAAUCAAUGGAUAGAGCCCAUGCACGCAUCUACCUCUGUAGAGAAUGUUCCUCGUGACCUGAUCUCGAAUCAAAAAGAAAUAUGGGUGAAAUUCUAGAAACACUUUGUUGUCAAGGGCAGUACGAUGAACAGAAAGAAUGUUUUUUGCUGUUUCGGGAACGUGCAAGAUAUUUCUAAGAUGGAUAUUAUGACUAGGGGUUUUGACAAUUGCAUGACCAAUAUGAUCAAUCUCCAUACCUUCACCAUUGGCAUUGUGAACUUGAUCUUGGCCAUGGUACUUCUCGCUCAUCGUCACCUUCUCGAGCUCGUUGGUGAUGUGGUUGGUAGCCCCAGAGUUGACGUACCAGUUUGUGUCAACUCCGUACGACGUGUCCGUUGCUGCUGCUGCAACUUUCUUUCUGCUGGAGUUGCUCUCGGCAUAGCGCCAGUCACAAUCCUUGGCGAUGUGGUUAUCUUUCUUGCAAAUCUCGCACUUAUUUACAUACUCCUCAUACCCUUGGAAGGGACGCCCCCUGAUGUUGUUGUACUAGGGGCGUCUAUUGUUGCCGCCGUUGUGCUGGUAGUGACCACCGCCACCACCGCCGCCAGCGUUCUGGUAGUGGCCGCCAGCACCACCGCCGCCGCUGUUGUAGUUGUUGUAGCCGCCACUGCCGCCACCGGCGUUGGAGUUUUUGUAGUGACCGCCGCCGCCGUUCUGAUAAGGGCCGCCGCCGCCACAACGAGAUCCACCACCACCACUCCUGUUGGAGUUGUGGUAGCAGCUGGAGUUGUUGUUGCCACGACCUCGGGAUGCAGCAUUAGCCGUGGAUUUGAAGGCGCCUGCCCCUAUCCCGUGGAACAUCUCAACGCGCUGGUCGAAGUUUGAAACCAUGCCGAAGAGAUCAUCCACCGAGAGGGGAGUGGUGCGUAUGUCCAGCGCCGAGAUCAGGUGUUGGUAGUCCAUGUCGAGCCCUGUAAUGAUGAAAGAAAGAAGAUCUCGUUCGAGAGUGCUCUCAUCUGCCCAAAGUAUGCGGAUGCGCUCAAGGAGCCUUUCUGUGCAUUGGUGAGGGAGAUGCGGCAGUUGUUCACACGAGAACGGGAUUGGGCAGCGAACAUGUUUGCUAGGGCUGACCAUAUGGCAUGCGAGGUUUCUAGAGAGGCGACUUGGAUCAGGACCUCCUUCAAGAGAUUGCGAAGGAGGAAGGCUGUAAUCUGCUGAUCUUGAAUCAGCCAUGGUUUGUAUUCAGGGUUAGGAACGAUUUGCUCCUUUCCUUCUAAGGUCUUGGUGACUAUGGUGUUGUUUGGCUCGGGUGUGGUUUGAUCCAUGUACCCAUAUAGCCCGACACCCAUGAUCUGGGAGCGAGCUUGGGUUCUCCAUAGGAUGUAGUUGGUUCUUGUGAGAGGCUCGGAUGUGGUGCUAGUAAGGGCAUUGGAUGGAACUUGGCUGGAGGUAGACAUGGUUCGGUUUGGUGGAGGAGAAGGUAGGAGCUCGGGUUUUCAGCGGGAGGAAGGAAGGUAGUCGAGGCUAGAUGUGGCGGAAGAGGGAGGCUCUGAUACCAUGUGAGAUUGUAUCAAAGCGUCUCAAUGCCCAUACACAGGCACCCGCAUGGUAUAUAUUGAUAUUGUGGUUUGUGGUACAAGAAAGGGUUGUUGGGAUCAUCCGCAUGAGAGAAUAUAGGAGGUUUAAAACAAGAAUAAGAAAGAGACCACAACUAUCUCUAGUUACAAUUGAACCUGCGCAUAGCCUCCUAUACCUAUACGUUUAACAAAAACAUCGAUCCCACACUUCUAAUGAAGCCGCACAUAAUAUUAUUUCCAUGUUCUAUGGUCAUCUCCUAUUUCCUGAUUGCACUGGACAACUCAUCUCUGGACUUGCAUAGCAACUCCUAAAAAAUGAAGUACUUGAUGGGGGCUCGUACGUCACUAAAAGGAUUUCACAAAGAUGUAUAUUGUCACUAGAUACACAUUAUUGCUAUGGAAUUCAUAAAACACACACAUAUCACGUGCUUGUCUCGCCUCUUCUCGAGACCUUCCUUUGUUGCAAGAAAACACACAAUUUGAAUAUCCCGUUGGUGGCAAGUUGAAGAUGGAUCCGCUCAAAGACAAGUUUAUUUGUAAUAGUCCGAAUUGUCCAAUAUACAUCCCUGAAGCCCCACCCAAUAUAUCACACGAGCACAACCAGAGCUGGCCAGGAUAAUCUCGCCGAAGUCAGGGAAGUAAUUAGCACGUCAUCAACUGUAACUCAUCACUUCCCAAAGGUAUCUCCAAAGGAACUGGGUGUGACACAAUAGAAGAAAAUGUGGUUAAUAUCUCUGUGAACAUCACACAACGGGUGAUCUCCAAGGCCGCUGCACUUCCUCGACGUUGGAUGUCAGAUGUCCCCUAAAAAGGAGGCACGUAUGGUAUAAUACAAGUUCGCCGCCGCAAAAAAACACAUGUUCAGUAAAAAUAUAUUAAUCACUUGGGUUGUUUUGUGUCCAUUUGAGUGCGGACAAGAAUGUCUAUGAAACACAGAUCAAAAGCAAAAUACCAUGGCAUGUCUAAAGAGAGCUCUUACAAGGAACUGUUUGGGUGUGAAAAUUCAUCCUAAGGGCCAGUGUGGAACCAGUGAUUUUUUUUCCAGCAAUGCUUGAUCUACGUUAUACUACCUCCAUAGACGUUGGGGCAGUUUAAAUUAAAUUGUCUCAAAGUCUUAUAUUUAGGAAUGGAAGAAGUAUAAUUUACGUGUUUAACGCGCAGUCCUACCAGGGGGUAGGAUUGGAUGACUUAGGGGAGGAAGGGGCCCACCCUCCUAAUAUUCGGGGAGGGGGGUGAUAAUUAAUUGUGAGCAUUAUGUAGAGUUUUUGUCAAACAUACCUAGAUGUAGGUUUUUUUUAUUCACCAGCUCCCCUCGGCCAAUCUGGAACGGAGGUAAUACAAAACAAGUCCGACCACCAGCUCCCCCNNNNNNNNNNNNNNNNNNNNNNNNNNNNNNNNNNNNNNNNNNNNNNNNNNNNNNNNNNNNNNNNNNNNNNNNNNNNNNNNNNNNNNNNNNNNNNNNNNNNNNNNNNNNNNNNNNNNNNNNNNNNNNNNNNNNNNNNNNNNNNNNNNNNNNNNNNNNNNNNNNNNNNNNNNNNNNNNNNNNNNCUUAUGCCCCAUUGCAAUUAUUGUCAAACUUUGACCAUAAAAUGAACUAAUAAAAUAUAAACUAUAUGUGACAAAACUAUAUUGUGUGAAUUCUCUUUUGAAUGCAAAUACAAUUCUGUAAUUUUUGUAUUAUAUAAAUAAUACGAUGUGACUGAGUUAUAUAAAUGAGCAACAUUUGAUACAAAAUACUAGUAGGGCUAAUAAACCUUGACGAGGGAGUAUCCAAGUAGCCGAGCAACACGUUCAUCCACCCUUGAAUCACGUGGUACGUUGUUGUCUUCUUUAGCAGCCCAACGUGUUGUCCACUACGAAAUCAAGUGUGGCCAAUUUAGGAGCCACCUCGUGUACCACGCACGCUGCAUGCAUGCAUGUGCGACAUUAUCUUCUCUGCAUAUGCGGCUAGUUAGCACAAGCAAACAAUUUCUCGUGCUCCACGCGUGCAUGUGUGAGAGCAUCUUAUCUUCUCUCCUGCUUGUCUCAUGCAUGUGAGAGCAUCUAUCUCAUCUUCUGUCGUGAUAAAUCUUCCCUAUAAAUAGGGCAAGUGUUAUGCAAAUACUCAUAUCAGUCAAGUUCAGAGUAAGCUCGAGGUCCAUUUAGCUGGUUAGUAGUGUUGGGUAUAUAUUCCAUAUUCCAUAUUUCCAUUUCCAUAUGCUUUCUGUCAAUAAGUUUCUCUGUAUGCAUCAUCCUCAUACUUGACUUUCUCCAGGGUCUUAUUGAAGGCAUUGUUUUUAGGUGAACUCGGACUUUCUCCAGGGUGAAGAUCCAAGAUUUUCGAUCGAGCAACGACAACGCUUAUGCAUUGUUUCCUUCUUGGGGGCGUUGCUUUUGGAGAACCUCAUUUGUAUUUCGGGUGUUGUCUUCGGUGGUUGGUAGAGUGCUACUGAUGCUAGUGAUACAUCACCGUGGCAGGGUCUUUUUUUCUGUUCCUUCUAUUUUCCUUUUUGGCUGUGUGUAUUCUUGAUGCCUUUGAACAUCUUGUUGGUAUAGAGGCCGGGUGUAAUUGGUAUCUUCGUGAUAUUAAUAUGUUCCUUUUGUCAAAAAAAAUUUAGAUAGGAAGUAAGAAUUAUAUACAAAUAAGCACCACAUAAACGGCAGCCCAAACUUCCCAUUCCGUCAUCGCAACACUAAGUAACUACUCGCUUAAGACUAUCUUUCUCCAUCUUCCUUGACUCAAGGCAAUGCUGGUGAAUUUUAUCGACUACUGAUGUAUGAAGCAGAGAGGUGUUGUUGAACACCCUUGUGCUUCUCUCAAGCACAUGCAUCAUAGCGAGCAGAGGAUCAACCAGUUGACACCUUUUCUCAGCUUGGGAGGGAUGCCCUGCUGAAGAUCAGACCACCAGGUGAGGACGUCUGGUUCGGCAGGAAGAUCCAUCUCAGGAUGUGAGACCAGACCUCACGCGCAAGACCAUCAUUAGGUGCUCGGUCGUUUCCUUAGGUACACAUCUCUCUUUUUUUGGAUAUUUUCUUGGUAGUGAAUUAGUGAUUAAACUUUUUAGAGGAAAGGUAUUUCUGUCCAGAAUUUGGUGAUUAAAAUUGAGCUGUGAACUUGGGAUUGCUCGGAAAUUACAUGCAUGGCAUUGAGAUAUGCACAAAUUUAAUUAGGCUUGUCUUAAUCUACUCUGGCUGGAACUUCACAGUUUGGCAUACAUGUACAUACAUAACUGACCGAUCAAGCACACGAUUUUUUAAAAAGAAGGAUUACCCCCGGUUUCUGCAUUAAAAUGAUGCAUGCAUCCAUAUUAUUAUACGAAGUAGCCAUCAAAUACAUAGUUCGAUACAAAUUGGCAAAACGAGUUAAAAUAAAAUAAAAAUUGCCACAACACCGAUUAAGCACACUUUAAGGACCGAUUAAGCACACAUGACUUGCAUACUUCUUUAUUUCUCCAUAUUCAUUUAUUCGUGAGCCAGCAUGUAUGUAUGCAGGCCACAGCAAGCCAGCAAGAGCUAUCCACCUAUCCAACGUGGGGGGUCUCGGCGACGGUGCCCACGAAGAUGCGGACACGGUUGGGCCUCAAGUCCUCGGUCACGGCGGAGCCGACCGGCACCAUGACAAUGUCGGCGUCGGGCUUGUCCUUCAGGAUGAUCUCCUUGGCCUCCUUGAUGGUCAGCCCCACCACCUCCGGCGACGAAGUCUUCUUUCCACCGGCGAGGUCGUCGGAGGAACUCAUCUUCGUAGCACUGGUUGAUAAUUUGAGAUCGAUCGAUCAAUCAGAGAUAGCUUAAUUGAGGCGGAGUGAGGUAUUUCAGCAACAAACUAAACAAGAAGAUCAGUUGAGGCACAUCUAGUUGCUACUCACCGAUUGAUGGACGGUCUUCUCCGAGCUGAUGGACGUACGGCCGAUGAUAUUCGAUGAUUGACCGGCUAGCAAAAGUUGCGCUGUGCGUGAGACUUGAUUUGCAUAACACAUUGGUCGAGUGAUGUAAUAUAGUAGAGAGAUUACGAGUAGGUAGCAGCUUCAUUUUCCACCCAUGGUACCUUCUAGUAGAGCAUCUCCAACAGCCGCGGAACACGUGGCGCGCUAAAAAAUAGUUUGCGGCGCGCCCAUCGUCAGGUUUGGCGCGGCGCGCAGCGCUGGCUCCAGCAGCCGCGCUAAAAUACAGCGCGCGCGCAGCUCCUGUAGCUCCGCAC